CGAGGAGGUGGAGGGAAUACCUUUGGGGUUGUUCUUGCUUGGAAAGUAAAGUUAGUCCCUGUUCCACCGGUUGUAACUGUGUUUACAGUUAACAAGAACCUGGAACAAAAUGCAACCAAAAUCUUCCAUCGAUGGCAAUACAUUGCUCACAAGUUACCCAAGGAUUUAUUUACGACUGUUUGGGUAAUGAAGGUGAAUUCCAGUCAAGUAGGGAAGAAAACAGUUCAAGCUAGUUUUAGGGGCAUGUUACUUGGUGGGGUUGAUGAGUUGAUUCCAUUGAUCCAAAACGAGUUUCCAGAGCUAGGACUUGCCAAAGAGAAUUGUACCCAAAUGAGUUGGGUUCAAUCUAUUCUUUACUUUGGAGGACUUCCAAUUCAACCCGUGGAUAUUUUGCUUAAUAGACAUGCUCUUCCAGUAUCUAGCGUCAAAGAAAAAACGGACUUCGUCAGGGAACCGAUGUCUGAAACUGGAAUCGAAGGGUUCAUGAACAUGUUUCUUGAGGAAGAAGCUGACUUUGCUAUAACGAUGAUAGAGGCUUUCGGAGGCAGAAUGGAUGAAAUCCGGGAAAAUGAAUUACCUUACCCACAUAGAGCAGGCAUCUUGUUCGAAUCCACUUACAUUGUCCAAUGGACAAAUGAAGCAGAUGCGGGAACGUACAUAAACUGGAUCCGAAGACUCUACAGUUAUAUGGCCAGUUAUGCUUCCAAGUCUCCGAGAGAAGCAUAUUAUAAUUACAAGGAUCUAGAUCUUGGAACUAACAACAUUAUUGGUUACACAAGUUACGAACAAGCUAGCGUUUGGGGUCUUAAAUAUUUCAAGAAUAACUUCAAAAGAUUGGUGCAAGUAAAGACCAAGGUUGAUCCAAUGAAUUUCUUUAGAAACGAGCAAAGUAUCCCUCCGCUUUGAUCUCUAUGAAAGAAGAAAGGUCGUCAGGGUUGAAGAUUUUAGAGUUUUUUUUUUAAUGAAAUAAUAUUUGGGUGAAAAGUAAUACUAUAUUGUAAAAUAAAUUGUUUCUUUGUCAUUAUAUAUGUCAUGAUGAAUAAUUUAGUGCAUAAUGUAUUAAUUAAAUUAUAAAUUUAUCUUUAUUCUAAAAUAGUUUUUGUGCGGUGAUUAUACUUGAAAGGUCCCUGCAUUACAGGGAUUGGAUCACAUGGUUUGUCAUUUUAAUUUUUUAUUCAAUAAAAAUUUCAAUAAGAAAAAGGAGUUGAAUAAGAUAAUAGGUGUGGGGUAUGCCUGGCAUUUUCGGACCUUUUAGGCACUUACUGUUACCCCUAUCGCGACACGAGGACUUCAAAAACGCAACAUGCCCAACAGACGAUGACAUCAUAACGAGGAGGUUUCCGACGUCACAAUGACACAGUGUCACGACAACGGACGACAUCAUGGUGAGAUGAUUUAGGACAUUGUGACAUGGCGACGUGUUCCCACAUAAAUCAGGUUUCAUUUCCCAGUUAAACUCUGCUACCUUUUCCAGUCAAACUUAGAUUAUUUUAGAGAUAUUUUAGUCAGAUAUUCACACUAAUUUCAACCUAUAUAAGGACUUUAGUAACCCUACAAUCGACAUCUUCAUCAUAUUAAGAUUAAGAGAAGAUUAAGAGAGUUUUUGAAAGAGUUUAAGGGAAUUUCUUAUUUUAGCCAGAGAACUUUAUUUUUUAGGAUUCAGGGUUUUCUGUUUUGGUUAUCUCCAUCUUGUACUCUUCGUUUAUUUGCUCAUUAAGUAAAGCCUAUUUUGCCUGUGAUUUUUUUAUCAUCUCCAAAGGGAUUUUUCCAUGUAAAUAUUUGUGUAUCCAAUUUUAUUUUUCUCUUUUUUGUUGCGUAUUGAUCCACAAUAAACUGGCAUUAGAGCUUAGUUCAUUUUUCACAAUCAAUUCGUUCAGGGAUGACAAUGAGAUAUAAUAUCGAGAAGUUCGAUGGCAUCACAAAUUUCAGUUUAUGGCAAGUAUGGAUGAUAGUUAUUUUGGUUCAGUAUGGCCUGAAAAAGGUCAUUACAGGGAAAAAGCCCGCAUAUAUGAAUCAGUUAGAAUGGGAUAAGCUUGAUAAGAAGACUUUGUCAGCAAUUCAGUUGUGCCUCACAAACAAUAUGUUGCAGGAGAUGUUUACAGAGAAAACGAUAGCAGCCUUAUAAAUGGAGUAAGUUAGAAACCCUAUACAUAACCAAGUUUCUAGCAGAUCGAUUGGUGUUGAAACAACACCUUUACACGUUUCGUAUAGCCGAAGGUGAGUACCUUAAUGGUCACAUUAGUCAAUUUGUUACUCUCUUGAAUGAUCUUAAAAAUGUCGAGGUUAAUAUAGAUGAUGAAGAUCAGACUAUGCUAUUAUUGUGCUAUUUGCCCCUCGUAUAAGUCUUUCAAGGAGACAUUGAUUUAUAGUAGAGAUAAACUCUCGUUCGAGGAAGCAAAAGGAAACUUGUUGAGCAAAGACAGACUUGACAAUGAGUUUGAUUCGGAUAGCAAGUCAAAUGAGCAAGCCUCGGUUUUGGUUGCAAGAAGCAAGAAAGAAUCAAAGUCAAGGAAUCGAGACAAAACAUGUGGCUACUGCAAGAAGUUAGGUCACAUUAAGACAAAGUGUUUGCAAAAAAUCAAAUGCUAGUUCAUUGUAUGCAUGACUUUUUUAGAUGUAUGAUUCUGAUUGGUACAUAAAUAUAUAAUAUACAUGACAUGCAUAUAUUUUUACAAUCAUGAAAAAGAGAAAGAAAGAAGUUAAUGAAAUUUUAAGCAAUGCAAGGAAAUAAUGUUUCAGUUGGUGCCUCAAGCCAAAAACACAUGUUUGUUCGAUGAUUUGAAAUCCAAAUAACCAUGUCUAUUUUGUAAACUUCCAUACAUGAAAAGUUAUGACUUGUCAAAAGGCACUUGUGUACUUAUUGGUACAUUAUAUAGAGUUGUUUGGUUGGAGUUGAAUUAAUUUAAUUCAUUCAAUCCAAUUUCUGAGUGAAAUUUUUAGUACAAAAAUAUUCUUUCUUUUUAAUGAUAUUCAAUUUGAGAUAUGAUAUUAUUUAUUUAUUUAAAUAAUGAUAUUAGUAACCAACAUUUGGAUAAUAUAGAUGAGACAUCAUUUUCAUUGUUAAAAAUGAAAGUUUGUAGAUGAUCAUAUAAUAUAAAUGAUUUUAGUUGUUGUUUUUAUUAAAUAACCUUAAGCUAAACGAGUUUUAUAAAUGAUUGCACAUUUUUUAUUCUAUAUCAUAAAGUUUGGACUAGAAGUGAUUUUGACUAGAAAAGAAUUAAGUUAUAUGCAUAUGUAUGGUUAAUUUUUCUAAUCAAUGUAGAAUAGUGGAAAAUUUGGCUUAUAUAAUAAUAUCAUUAUUCUGAUAUGAAAUUUUCUAGUGAGAAUAUAUAACGUGAUAAUCAUAUAUUUAAAAUCGAGAUCAUAUUGUGCAUAUUUAUAAUGGUGCAUAUGGUUUUUGUACAUGGCUUGGAUAUAAUCCAUGGUCUCACGAUUCUAUAAAAUUUGAGAUGUAGUAAAUUUCAAAAUUCACUUUCAAAGUCACGAAUAAAAAAAUAUCAUGAGUAUGAAAUUACAAUAUGACUGCUAUUUGACCCAUUUUUAGGUGAUGGACCUGAUUUUGAUCAUAGUCAGAAAAUAAUUGAUAAUACCCAUGGUGAAUAAAUGUAUGAUUUUAUAGUUGACUGGACAAUUGAUGGUAUAUUAGUGUGACUAUAUAUGUUACACCCUUGUAUAUAUAAGGUGUGUUGAGAAAAAUAAUGUUAUUUGACUAUGAAUGAAAAAAAUUAAAGUCAUCUACUGAUUUUGAAAAUAAACUAUGACAAAUAACAAAUAUGUUGUCCAGUUUCACCAAGAGAUUUAUGGCCUGUUAACAGCAACUUACUUUGUGAAGAAUACAUGAUUUAUGGUUUCAUAUAUUUGGUUAUUGUGAAAUUAAUUUCUUGAACAUUAAGAAAUAAAUAAACUAGUCAAAUAUGAUAAGAAAAGAUAAAGUGAUCACUAUAAUUUGACAAUAGUAAAAAUGAUAUUCUUGAUAGCAUUUUUUUGCUAAAAGAAUGAGUAAUUGAACAUAGUGAGGAUGUUGGUCUUCUAAAUUUUUAAGACAUAAAUAAAUAUUAUAAAGUUUCACCAUGUGAUAUAGAUAGUUAACAUAACUAUGUUGAAAUUUUGGAAAUUGAGAGAUGAGGUUCAAGCCUAUAAUAUUUGAGUCGCCAAUGAUGGAAACUCAACUCAACGCUUGGUAUAACGUCAAGUCCUGAGUUCAAUAAGGUAAAGUACAUCAUCAAUAUGUGGCUACUAGCACUAUAAAAAAUAUAUAUUACAAUGAUUAUCUUUGAAACGAUACCAAAUAUGAUAUUAAGAGAUGAUCCUAUCUAUCUACCAAAUCUCAUAAUUCAAUACUUUUAUGGAUUUUAGACGAAAAUUAAAAUUUAACUACUCAUAAUUAAAGAAUACUAAAAUAAAACUCAAAUAACAAUGGCCCUGGUCUCUUCGGGUGCGCCCCUCUCCGUACGUCUAUUAUUAUUAAAACCUAAUUAAGUAGCUGUGGCGGCCCCCAAUUUUGACGAAAAUAAUGAUAAUAAUAUCCAAUGACCCUAAAAAUAAGGGUAAUAUUAAAACCAAGAAAGAAAAUUUUAAAGAUAAAUAUUCUAAUCAAAAUUAGGUUAGUGGAAUUUAAAAAUAUAUAUUAGAGUUGAAUACAAAUAAUAAAUAACUUCAAAAUUCAUUAGAAAAUUUAAGAAUUUCAUCGCAAAUCGUAAUAAUUUUAUUUUAUUUAAUAUAUAUUUUUAAAUGGUUUGACUGUUAAGGGUGUUCACCGCCUUAGAUGUGAGUUGGGUUUAAGUCAUGUUAGUCGCGUUGAUUGUUCGAGUUUUACCAUAUUAUCAUAAUUCACCAAAAAAAUUCGAAAAUUGUGUAUAAAAUUGGUAUCUGCCUUUUUAAAUUAAACUUCGAUGCACUAAACACGGUAUUAAGUAAAUUGGUAUUGUUUAGAGCAUUUUGUUUUCGCUAGGAGUAGACUUUGACAAAGUAAAUGGAAUAAUGAAUAUAAAACUUCUCCAACAUAGUUAUAAAUAAGUGUAACACAUUUCCAUACUCACAGCCAACUUAAGAACAUGAAAUUCCUUCAACUUUCUGUGCUUCCAUUUCUUAUUGUGAUAUUGUCAUUGAAUGGGGCAACUUUAGCUCAUCCUUAUGGAGAUUUCCUUCAUUGCCUUUCUCUCGUAUAUCAAACUCUUCUACUAUUUCUAAAGUUAUUUACACCCAAAAUAAUCCCUCCUAUUCAUCGGUUUUGAAUGCUUCUAUUCAUAAUUCCAGGUUCUCUACACCAACCACCCCUAAACCCUAUGCCAUUAUUACACCACUCAAAACAUCCCAUGUCCAAUCAACAAUUUAUUGUUCCAAAAACCAUGGCUUCCAACUUAGGAUUCGAAGUGGUGGUCAUGAUGUUGAGGGUGUUUCUUAUGUUUCUCAGGUUCCAUUUGUCAUCCUUGAUUUGGUCAACUUUCGAGAUGUCAAAGUUGACACAAAAAAUGAAGUUGCCUGGGUUCAAUCUGGUGCAACUACAGGUGAAUUAUAUUAUGGGAUUGCUUCGAAGACACAGACGCUCGGCUUUCCUGCUGGUAUUUGCCACACUAUAGGCAUUGGUGGGCAUUUAAGUGGGGGUGGAUUUGGCAUAUUGGGCCGCAAAUAUGGUCUUGCUGCUGACCAUAUAAUUGAUGCUAAAAUGAUUGAUGCUAAUGGAAGGGUCUUUCAUCGAAAAUCCAUGGGUGAAGAUUUGUUUUGGGCUAUCCGAGGAGGUGGAGGAAAUACCUUUGGAGUUGUUGUUGCUUGGAAAAUAAAGUUAGUCGCUGUUCCACCUGUUGUAACUGUGUUUACAGUUAACAAGAACUUGGAACAAAAUGCAACCAAAAUCUUCCAUCGAUGGCAAAACAUUGCUCACAAGUUACCCAAGGAUUUAUUUACGUCUGUUUGGGUAAUGAAGGUGAAUUCCAGUCAAGUAGGGAAGAAAACAGUUCAAGCUUCUUUUAAAGGCAUGUUUCUUGGUAGGAUUGAUGUGUUGAUUCCAUUGAUCCAAUACUCGUUUCCAGAGCUAGGACUUGCCAGAGAGAAUUGUACCGAAAUGAGUUGGGUUCAAUCUGUUCUUUACUAUGGAGCACUUCCAAUUGAACCUGUGGAGAUUUUGCUUAAUAGAAGUGCUCUUCCAAGAUUAAGUCUCAAAGCCAAAACGGACUACAUCAGGGAACCGAUGUCCGAAACUGGAAUCGAAGGGUUCAUGAACAUGUUUCUUGAGGAAGGAACUGACUUUGCUAUAACGAUGAUAGAGGCUUUCGGAGGCAAAAUGGAUGAAAUCCGGGAAAGUGAAAUACCUUUCCCACAUAGAUCAGGCAUCUUGUUCGAAUCCGUUUACAUUGUACAAUGGGCAAAUGAAGAAGAUGCAGGACUGUGCAUAAAUUGGAUGCGAAGACUUUACAGUUAUAUGUCCAGUUAUGCUUCGAAAUCUCUGAGAGGAGCAUAUUAUAAUUACAAGGAUCUAGAUCUUGGAACUAACAACAUUAAUGGUUACACAAGUUACGAACAAGCCAGCGUUUGGGGUCUUAAAUAUUUCAGGAACAACUUCAAAAGAUUGGUGAGAAUAAAGACCAUGAUUGAUCCAAUGAAUUUCUUUAGUAAUGAGCAAAGUAUCCCUCCUCUUUUGUCUCCAUGAAAGAAGAAAGGUCGUCAGGGUUGAAGAUUUUAGAGUUUUUUCUUAAAUAUGAAAUAAUAUUUGGAUGCAAAGUAAUAUUAUAUUGUAAUACAAAGAGUUUCCUUUUUACUAUAUAUGUCGUCAUGUCAUCAAUAAUUUAGUGCAUAAUGUAUUAAUUAAAUCAUAAUUUUAUUUUUAUUCUAAAAUAAUUUUUGUGAGGUGAAUGCAUUAUAGGGAUUGUGUCAUUUUAAUUUUUUAUUUAAUAAAAAUUUCAAUAAAAAAAAAGUAGCAUUUGGAAAUUAUGGAAGUGCAGGAAAUGACUUUAUUUUUAAUGAUUAAUAAUUGAUCUUAAGAUAAAAAACUAAAAAUAAAAAAGCGUAUAUGGUUGGGUAAGGGAAAGCAAUCAGUUUGGUCGGUUUUUUCAAACCGCCUUCAAUAUAAGAAAAUCAACUCGAUCAACUUUAGUUGAGAAAACCAGUCCAACCAAAUCGACUUUGAUUCAAUCGAUUUAGUCGAUUUUUUCAGUUAACUAACCUUGAGUUAUUGAGUUGAGUUUAUAUGGUUAUAUAUCUAUUAUAUACAUAUUAUAAAAUAUAAAUAUUUUUAAAUAAUGUAAAAUAAGUCAAUUUUUUCGAUCGAUUCAAUUCUUAAAUUCAAAAAUCGAUAAUGAAUCGAAUUAAUCAAUUAAAUAAACAUCAAAACCGAUCAAUCCCCCUCACCCGACAUCAAAAUCAAGAAAACCAAAUGCACCUGUUAGUUGAAGUCAAGGUUUGAAUCCUAAAGAGCUCUCUUGAGGAGGGAUUGCAUUAUUUACCAAUCCAAGUCUCGGGGGCUUAGACUUUUGAGCCAACAUAUUUUAAAAAAUAGAACAUGUGACUUUACAUUUUUUAAAACUAACAUAUUUUAAAUUCCUUUUUUCAAAAAUAAAACAUAUGAGGUAAAAGAAGAGGUGGUUGAAAUUUGAGCAAAUAAUUUUUUUAUAUAGUGCAUAAGUUUAUCCGUAAGCGCACUCAAACUGACAUCUUCUUGUAAUGAUAAUAACGUUGAUGCCAAUUGAGUUAAGACUCAACCGACUAUGAAAAACAAUAUUUCAACAAUAUCAAUGAUAAAUAAUUUUUUUUUAUAGUUUCCACAUCACCCAUAUAUAUGCAACAUAGUAUUUCAAUAUUUAAUUAGCAAAAUUACCAGAAAAAGAUUAUUUACAUUAAGAGGAAUUCAAUCUAGAAUAUAAAGCUACCCAAAUCAAAUUGAAAAAGUUUAAGGCGACUAAAAUUAGAACGAUUUUAUUUAGAGUUAUUAACUAUGUAAUUUGUCAUUUUUUUAUUACAGAUUUUGAUCAUGUCUGUUCUUUUUAACACAAUAUCUAGAAUUAUUUAUAGACUUUCUCAACUCAUAAAUAAGAGGAUAAUGCGCUUCAACGUACUCAGACCAUGUCCUUCUGCAUUGGUAAUAAUGUCCAUGCCAAUCCAGUUAAUACUCGGUCGGCUAAUUUAAAGAGAAAAUUGUAAAUAUAUACAUACUAAAUAACUAAAAUAUGAAAGAAUAAAGGAAAUGAUAAAUAUAAAACAUCUCAAACAUAAUUAUAAAAAAGGUAACUAAGUGUAACACAAUCCCAUGCUCACAACUGGCUCAAUAACAUGAAGUUCCUUCAAUUUUAUGUGCUUCCAUUUCUUAUGGUGAUAUUGUUAGUGACACUACACUAAAACAGGUUUUUAGCGGCGUUUUUGUAGGCUUUUAGCCGCGCUUCUUAGCGCCACUAAAAGUAUUUGCGGCGCUUCCACAAGCGCCGCAAAAAAUGCCGCUAUUGACAACAUCGCUAACGUUUGCGGCGUUUUUUAAAUAAACGCCACUAAUUUUGGGAUUUUUGUAAAAUAAAAUUUUUCAUAUUUUCAGCCCUCCUGUAGCAACAAAUCAAAAGCAACCAAAUCUAAACCAGUCAAAAGCAAUAAAUCUAUAUAAUAUUUCAAAUUAAACGAAUAAAAUAAUAUAAAUAUCAAUAAAUAAAAUAUAAUUCAUAUUAUUUUUACAAAAAUGUUAAAAGUUAAAAUGAUAAAAUUUUUUAUACAAUACACUAUGACGGCGGAUGGUGCGACUGCUGAAACAUCUUCAUCAUAUUCUGAAGCUGCUGUUGGAGUUCGUCGUACUUUCUGCUCUGCUCUGCUUCCCUCGCUGCAACCUCUGCUUCCCUCGCUGCCGCCUCUGCUUUAAGUUGUAGCUGGAGUUCUUCAUAUUUCCUUUGAACUUCAACUGUGGUCGCUUGCAUCUGAGCCAUCUGGUCUUUUAACCUCUGAACUUCAGCUUGAGCCUGACUCCUCGAAGGCAUGUAUUACAUAUAAUUAAACAAUCGUAAAAUCUUAGUACAUCAUAAUUCAUAUAUAUCUUCAUCCGUAUCCUGGCGAACCCAUUGAAAUUGUGUACUAGUACUAGGGAUAUUUUCGUUUAAGUUUUGUUCUGGAAAGGGCAAAAUUUCUGAUCUGUCGUUGAUGUUAUCUCUACUUCCACUGCCCAUGUUGUAACACCCCUUACCCGAGACCGUUUUUGGAGUCGAGCACGAGGCAUUACUUAACUUAUAUUACUAAUUCGGAGCAUAAAAAUUUACUUUGAAAAUUAAUUUCACUAUUUACAGCAAAUCUGUCUAAUCGCACAGCAGUUACAAAAUUAAUUAUAACUCAAGAUACGGUACUUGAAAUUUAAUUCCGUAAAUUUUAUCUGAAACUAGACUCAUAUAUCUUCCUACCAUAAAAUUUUUAGAAUUUUUGGUUCAGCCAAUUAGUACAGUUUAUUAGUUAAAGUCUCCCCUGUUUCACCAUUCAACUGUUCUGACCUCUUGUUACUAAAAAUAAAUUUUCUCAUUCUAGGAUUUUCAUAUAAUGUUCUAACUUAUUUCUACAGAAAAUAGACUCAUUAAGGAAUCUAAGAAUGUAAGAUACAGCUCAAAAAUAUUUUUGUACAAUUUUUAAUUAUUUUCUAAACUCAGAACAGGGGACUCCAAAAACAUAUCUGACCCUGUCUCACUAAAAUUCACAUAUCUUAAAAUAUAAAUUUCUUUUUGCUACAUCGUUAUUUUUCUAUUAAAAUAGACUCAACAAUAUUUAAUUCCAUAUAUCAUUCACCCUCUAAUUCAUUUUAUACUAUCCUAGGUGAUUUUUCAAAUUCACAUCACUGCUGCUGUCCAAAAUCUGUUUCAUUGCAAAUUCUUACUCUUUUAUCAUUUCUUUUUAUUAACUAUCAUUUAAGCACACACAGCACCAAAACACAUUCCUAUAUAGCCAUUUCAAUAACUAAUCAUUAUCAAAUAUUUACUUGCUACUCCUUAGCUAUAUCAUAAGAAUACACACAAACUAACCAACUCCUUAUACAUGCCAUAUAAACCAAAAAGUUGUUUAACAAAAUCUACCGGAGUACAUCUGGAUAGUGUGAUCGUUGAUGUAGAUCCGAUCCUCCGAAAUAUACAUAUACGUCAAUCUACAAGAAAUAGUAAACAUACACUAGUAAGCUUUACAGAAAGCUUAAUAAGUUCAUAGGCUCAUAAUAAAAUCUUACCAAAAUUUCACUAACAACAUUAACAAACAAAUAAAAAUUCAACAUUUCCUGCCAACCACAAUCUCAAACAAUAAAUAUAUCCAAUCGAGCUCAAUAUAAUGUCAACUUCUAUUCCAACAUUUAGUUUCAAUUGCACUUAUAAAUACUUGUCAAAUUAAGGAUCGCCUUACAGAAUUGAGUACAUCGUUUGCCCGGUGCCACAAUUUGCUUGAAUACUUCACGUUGUUAUAACUCAGUAUGGUUUUCUUCACGGAAAUACCAUACCUACUUUUCACAACUCAGUACGGUUUUCUUUAUUGAAAUACCAUACCUACUUUUUGCAACUCAGUAUGGUUUUCUUUAUCGAAAUAUCGUACCUACUUUUCACACUUUGCCAUGGAUCCACCAUGGACUCAUCCGUCAAUCCAUCACUGGUUACCGAACAUAUGUACUCAAUCCUGCAUAUCCUUUAAUUUGAACUAACAAUCUCGUUUUAUUUUCAUUUUUACCAUAAUCAUAAUUCAGCAACAAUAUACAAAUUGAUACAUUAUAUCAUUCUCACAUUAACAAUUAAUCAUAAACGUUCAACCGUAUGAACUUACCUGGGCCAAUUCGUAGAAGUUGUAAAAGUUCAGAAACUAGCUCGAUACUUUCUCUUUUUCGCGUUUAUCUUUGGAUUCCCGAUCUAUAAUAUAAAUUUUUCCAUUCAUUAGCAUCUCAUUCAAUACUAAUUUACUUACAAUUUAUGCCUUUCAAUUUUCAAAAUUACACUUUUACCCUAAAAUUUACAAUUUUUUACAAUUUGGUCCCUACUCAAUUAACCCUUCAAUUGAUCUAAUUUUUCUCAAUUAACACCUUAUCCAACCAUUUUAGACUACUAAAUAGCCUUUUAUAUUCAUAAUUUCAGUAAAAAACCCAAAUUCCUAACUUUUUCACAAUUAGGCCCUAAAAAUCAUUUUCUACUAAAAUCACUUUAAUAAGAUCAUAAUAUAAUGAAAUUAAAACUUAAAAUCUAUAAUAAUUCAUCAUAAAAUUCCAGAAUUUAUUCAUAGUAACUUACAAAAUCACCCAUGGAAUCAAAAACUAAUGAAUUCAAUAGUUGGACCUAGUUGUAAAAGUCACAAAACAUAAAAAUUUCAAGGAAAAAGUAAGAAUUGAACUCACAUGGUAUAAAAAAAUAUGAGAAAACAGCUUGUUUCAGACCUCCUAUGGCGUUUUUUCUGAUAAAUUAUGAAUAGUUCUCUAGAUUUUUCACUUUUGUCUUUGUCUUAUAUAUUUAAUUUGUGAAGUUUCCAAUUUUUCCCUUGUUUCUCCUUACUUUCUUGCUGAUUUUUCUUACCCAACCGCCCAGCCCAUAUACUGUAGGCCUAAUUGCCUUUUAAAUCCCUCCUUAUUAGUCAUUUAAGCUAUUUAAUCACGAUUUAACAAAUUUUGCACUAUUUUCAAUUUAGUCCUUUUUCAUUAAUUGACUAUCCAAACGUUAUAAUUUUCUAACGAAACUUUUAUACUAACUCAAUGACACUCCAUAAAUAUUUAUAAAAAUAUUUAUGGCUCGCUUAUGAAUUUGAGGUCUCGAUACCUCAUUUUAGACCCAAUUUACCUAUUAAAUUCUUUUUAAAUCACAAAAUUCACUAAUUCAAAAAUUCUUUUAAAUUCACACUUGACCUAUAAUUAUUAAUUUAUUAAAUUUUAAAACUGACUAGUCAAAUUUAGUGAUCUCGAAUCACUAUUUCCGACACCACUGAAAAUUAGGCUGUUACACAUGUUAAACGACGCCGUUGGGUUUUGUUUUUUGCGGCGUUUUACGGGAAAACGCCGCUAAUACUCAAUUUUUACCGGCGUUUUUUUAUCUAAACGCCGCUAAAAGUACAGCUAAAAGCCUAUUUUGGUGUAGUGUGAGUAGGGCAAAUUUAACUCAUCAUUCUCAUCGGGAUUUCCUUUGUUGCCUUUCUCUUCAUAUAUCAAACUUUUCUACCAUUACUUACAUGCAAAAUAGUCCUUCAUAUUCUUCAGUUUUGAAUGCUUCUAUUCACAAUAAAAGGUUCUCCACACCAACUACGCCUAAACCCUAUGCUAUUAUUACACCACUCAAAACAUCCCAUGUCCAAUCAACAAUUUAUUUUUCCAAAAACCAUGGCUUCCAACUUAGGAUUCGCAGUGGUGGUCAUGAUCUUAACGAUUCUUCUUAUGUUUCUCAAGAUCCAUUUGUCAUCCUUGAUUUGGUCAACUUUCGAGUAAUUGAAGUUUGACACAAUGAGUGAAGUUACAUGGGUUGAAUUUGGUGCAACUCUAGGUGAAUUGUAUUACGAAAUUACUUCAAAAAGUAAACCCUUGCUUUCCCUGCUGGUUUUUGGUACACUAUAGGUGCUGGUGGGCAUCUAAGUGGGGGUGGAUAUGGCAUAUUGGUCCAUAAAUACGGUCUUUCUGCUGAUCAUAUAUUUGGUGCUAAAUUGAUUGAUGUUGAUGGAAGGAUUCUUAAUCAGAACUCCAUGGGUGAAAAUCUGUUUUGGGCUAUCCGAGGAGGUGGUGGAAAUACUUUUGGCAUUGUUCUUGCAAGGAAAAUAAAGUUAGUCCCUGUUCCACCUGUUGUAACCGUGUUUACAGUUAACAAGAACUUAUGAUGAAGUUGGUCAGUAUGAAGCAAACACUCGACAGCAAGCAGGCCAUGAAGACCAAGCCAUGCAGGAGUUGCUGAUGCAAGCUUAUUUUGCUCAUUUUGUAAUUUCUUAUCAAUGAAAUCUAAUUUAGUUCAUUUAGAACUAUGUUAGGUAGAUGAUUGAUGUAAUUCGCUGUCAUAUGAGUUGUUAAUUCAGCUUUGCUUGUAUGCACAAGUUAAUUACUUCAAGUUUCAAUGUUUAGUGGUGUUAGGUAACCAUUAGGUGGAUGUUUACUGUUUUUUGACAAGCUUAGAGCUUGAUUUAUGUAUUGGCAUUUUGCCAUUGUUAAUUCCAUGAAUGAAUCAAGCUUUGUUCAUCAAAUACUCUCCAUUUUUUUUAGCUCUUUCUUCUUUUCUUUUUGCUCGAAUUCAUUUGUUUGCUCAGCAAGCAUCGAGGCUUGUUGCACAAGAUACUUGCCGAGUCUGUUAUUUUCUGUUAGUGCACCAAUAAUUGGUAUCUAGAGCCUAUUUCUUAAGGGACCUGGUAUUCAAGGAAUGGCUUCAUCAAACUUUUCACCAGCUGCACCACAAGUCUCCAAUAGGGAAGGCUAUCACAUAUGGGUGGUAAAAAUGAAGACCUACCUACAGGCUUUCAAUCUGUGGGAGGUGGUCAACUCUGAUGUUGAACCAGAGCCACUUAGAGCCAAUCCAACAGUGGCUCAGAUAAGGCAGCAUGCUGAUGAGAGGACCAAGAGGCACAAGGCCAUGUCCUGCAUACAGAACUCAGUGUCAGAUGUGAUUUUCACAAGGAUUAUGGCCUGUGAAACACCAAAGCAGGCCUGGGAUAAGUUGAAAGAGGAGUUUCAAGGGACAGAGAGGACAAGGCAACAACAGUUGUUGAAUCUGAGGAGAGAAUUCGAGAACAUGAAAAUGAAAGAAGAAGAAACUGUCAAGCAAUAUUCUGACAGAAUUAUGGUUGUGGUAAAUAGCAUAAGGCUCCUUGGUGAGCAGUUCAGUGAAGUUAGGAUAGUGGAGAAGGUCAUUUCAACCUUACCAGAGAGGUAUGAGGCAAAAAUCUCAUCUCUCGAAGACUCAAGGGACUUGACCAGCAUUCCCUUGACAGAGCUUAUCAAUGCUCUUUAUGCACAAGAGCAGAGAAGAGCUAGCAGACUGGAAGAGCACUAGGAAGGUGCCUUUUAGGUAAAGACCAAUACUGCCUAUAAAGGUAAGAAGACCUGGAAAAAUAGGCCUAAGCCUGAUGCUGCAAGGAGCAAUGACCAACCUUGCAGGCAUUGCAAGAGGCCUGGUCAUCCAGAAGAAAAAUGUUGGUUCAAUCUAGAUGCUGUAUGCCAGCAUUGCAAAAAGAAGGGUUAUGUUGAAAGAGUCUGCAAAAGCAAGGCCAAAUCAAGGCAGAAUCAGUUUCAACAGAUGAAAGCUGAGGCUCGAGUAGCCAAGGAGGACAGUGACCAAGCGGAGCAAGUUUUUACUGUGUCAGGCACAGCUACACAGGAAAGGCUCUCAUCUGGUUGGCUCCUAGACAGUGGAUGCACCAAUCACAUGACACCUGAUGCUUCAAUCUUCAAGUCUUUAGACAAAAGCUGCAGAACCAAUGUCAAAAUAGGUAAUGGCCACUUUAUUCAAGCUGAAGGCAAGGGUGAUGUGCUGAUAUGCACUCCCACAGGUGCCAAAGUGAUUUCAAAUGUGCUCUUGGUGCCUGAAAUUGACAGAAACCUGCUCAGUAUAGCUCAAUUGCUGGAGAAAGGUUAUUCUGUGAUGUUCAAAGAUAACCAAUGCAAAAUCAGUGAUCCAAGUGGAUCCAAGCUGAUGGCAGUCCCUAUGGCUGAUAAGAGCUUUGUAGUUAAUUGGACAAAUGAGUCAGAUACUGCCUACACAGCUACAACAGUUGAAUCCAAGCUUUGGCAUCAAAGGCUUGGACAUGCCAAUUUCAGAUCAAUGGCUCAAAUGGUCAGAGAAGGGUUAGCUGAAAACUUCACCAACAUAGUGGAGCAUGAUGAUGUGUGUGAAGUAUGUCAGUUAGGCAAGCAGGCUAGACUUCUAUUUCCCUCGAAUCAAGCCUGGAGAGCCUCUGAAAGAUUACAAUUUGUGCACACUGAUGUGUGUGGCCCCAUGAAGACUGAGUCAUUAAGUGGAAACAGGUAUUUCAUAUUGUUCAUUGAUGAUUUCUCGAGAUAUUGUUGACUUUACUUCAUGAAACAGAAAUCUGAGGUGGCCUCUGUGUUUUGGAAGUUCAAAACUGCUGCUGAGACUGAAACAGGUUGCAAGCUGAAGACCAUAAGGUCUGAUAAUGGGACUGAGUAUACCUCAGCACAGUUUCAAGCCUUUUGUGAUAAGGCAGGCAUUAAACAUCAGCUUACCAACACUUAUACACCUCAGCAAAAUAGUGUAAGUGAAAGGAAGAAUAUGAGUUUGAUGGAUAUGGCUAGGUGCCUUGUGAUUCAGAAGAACCUACCUAAAGAUCUAUGGGCAGAAGCAGUUAACACUGCAACAUACAUUCAAAACAGGCUUCCAACCAAGGCUUUGAACCAGAAGACUUCAUUCGAGGCCUGAUUUGGAUUCAAGCCAUCACUGGCUCAUCUGAAGGUCUUUGGAUGCAUGUGUUAUGCACAUGUACCUGCUGUUAAAAGGGACAAAUUGUCUGAAAGGGCUCGACCUGGUAUUCUGGUGGGCUACAGCACUAUCAAGAAGGGCUAUAGGAUAUUGGAUCCUUCAACAAACAAAGUGUCAGUCAGCAGGGAUGUGGUAUUCGAUGAAAGGUCAUGUUGGAACUGGGAAAGACAUGAACCUGAAGAAGUUUCAGAAGAACUUGCAGCAGACCAAGCUAAUCCAGACCAAAAUAGUCCUGAAAUGGACAUUGAUGAUGAACCAGUCAGGGGAACAAGACCAUUGACUGAGAUUUAUGAAAGGGCUCAUGUUGCCAUAGCUGAACCAAGCAACUUUGAAGAGGCUGAAGCUCAGCAAGGGUGGAAGCAGGCAAUGGCUGAGGAAAUCAGCAUGAUUGAGAAGAACCAGGCCUGGGAAUUGGUUGAAAGGCCAGUCAAAAGGAAGGUAAUUGGGGUGAAAUGGGUGUACAAAGCCAAGCAAAAUGCUGAUGGAACCUUGAACAAACUGAAAGCAAGGCUAGUUGUCAAGGGGUUCAGUCAGAAAUAUGGCAUGGACUACCUGGAGACCUUUGCACCAGUGGCCAGGCUCAACACUAUCAGACUACUGAUUACCUUAGCAGCACAGCUCGAAUGGAAGAUCCAUCAACUUGAUGUAAAAUCAGCUUUUCUGAAUGGCUUCUUAGAUGAAAACAUUUAUGUUGAUUAACCACAAGGGUUUGAGAUAGCUGGCAGAGAGCACAUGGUCUAUAAACUGAAGAAGGCCCUAUAUGGCUUAAAACAGGCUCCAAGGGCCUGGUACUCCAGAAUUGAUGGCUAUUUGACUAAUUUAGGAUUCUAUCAAAGCAAGAGUGAACCAACACUGUAUGUUAAGAAGGAAGGGACACAAACUCAGCUCAUUGUAUCUCUGUAUGUUGAUGACCUGCUAGUAACAGGAGGAGAUCAAACAAUGCUGGUUGAUUUCAAGACCAAGAUGCAGGAGGUGUUUGAAAUGUCAGAUCUAGGGGAGAUGUCCUAUUUUCUUGGAAUGGAAGUGUUACAAACACAGAAUGGGAUAUUUCUAAGUCAGAGAAGCUUUGCCACAAAGAUUCUGACUAAGUUUUCCAUGCAAAACAACAAGGUAACUAAAACUCCUGUUGCUGUUGGAGAGAAGCUAUCGAGCCAAUGUGACUUUGAGAAGGUUUGUGAAACAACCUACAAAAGUCUAGUUGACUGCCUGUUAUACUUAACUGCCACUAGACCAGACAUAAUGUAUGCUGUAGGAUUGCUCUCAAGGUUCUUACAUUGCUGCAAUGAGAAGCAUUUUCAAGCUGCAAAAAGAGUGUUGAGAUAUGUCAAAGGCACUUAAGCUAUGGUUUGAGGUACAAUAAUGAAGGAAAUCUGAAGUUGGUUGGCUACACUGAUAGUGACUGGGCAGGCUCGAUAGAUGAUAUGAAAAGCACCUCAGGGUAUGCUUUCAACCUUGGUUCAGCCAUGUUCUGCUGGAGCUCGAAGAAGCAAAGUCUGGUGGCUCAAUCUACUGCUGAAGCAGAGUAUGUGGCAGCAGCAAGUGCUGUGAACCAAGCCAUUUGGCUAAGGAAAAUCUUGGCCGAUUUGAAUGUGCAUCAAAGAGAAGCAACAAAGAUCUUUUGUGACAACCAAUCUGCUGUUGCAAUUGCUAAAAAUCCAGUGUUCCAUGGAAGAACAAAGCAUUUCAGCAUUAUGUUGCAUGUUGUUCGAGAAAUGGAGCAAGCACAAGAGAUGAAGCUGAUUCACUGCAAUUCAGAGGAUCAACUUGCUGACAUUCUAACUAAAGGUCUUAAUGUCACAAGGUUUGAGCAUUUGAGAGGAAAAUUAGGUGUUUGCACCAUACUAACCAAGGAGGAGUGAUAAAGUUGGUCAGUAUGAAGCAAACACUCGGCAGCAAGCAGGCCAUGAAAACCAAGCCAUGCAGGAGCUGCUGAUGCAAGCUUAUUUUGCUCAUUUUGUAAUUUCUUGUCAAUGAAAUCUAAUUUAGUUCAUUUAGAACUAUGUUAGGUAGAUGAUUGAUGUAAUUUGCUGUCAUAUGAGCUGUUAAUUCAGCUUUGCUUGUAUGCACAAGUUAAUUACUUCAAGUUUCAAUGUUUAGUGGUGUUAGGUAACCAUUAGGUGGAUGUUUACUGUUUUUUGACAAGCUUAGAGCUUGAUUUAUGUAUUGGCAUUUUGCCGCUGUUAAUUCUAUGAAUGAAUCAAACUUUGUUCAUCAAAUACUCUCCAUUUUUUCUAGCUCUUUCUUCUUUUCUUUUUGCUCGAAUUCAUUUGUUUGCUCAGCAAGCAUCGAGGCUUGUUGCACAAGAUACUUGCCGAGUCUGUUAUUUUCUAUUAGUGCACUAACAACUUGGAACAAAAUGCAACCAAAAUCUUCCAUCGAUGGCAAUACAUUGCUCACAAGCUUCCCAAUGAUAUAUUUAUGACUGUUUGAAUAACAAAAGUGAAUUCCAGUCUAGUAGGGAAGAAAACAAUUCAAGCUUCUUUUAAAGCCAUGUUUCUUGGUGGGGUUGAUGAGUUGAUUCCAUUGAUCCAACACAAGUUUCCAGAGCUAGGACUUGCCAAAGAGAAUUGUACCGAAAUGAGUUGGAUUGAAUCAAUUCUUCACUUUGGUGAACUUCCAAUACAACCUGUGGAUAUUUUGCUUAAUAGAAAUGUUCCAAGGUCAAGUCUCAAAGCCAAAACGGACUUCGUCAAGGAACCGAUCCCCAAAACUGGAAUCGAAGGUUUCAUGUCCAUGUUUCUUGAGGAAGAAGCUGACAUUGCUAUAACGAUGAUUGUGGCUUCGGAAGGCAAAAUGGAUGAAAUCCCGAAAAAUAAAAUGCCUUUUCCAAAUAGAGCAGACAAUUUGUUUAUAGCCAUGCUGAAUGAAGAAGAUGGCGGGACAUCCAUAAGUUGGAUCCGAAGACUGUACAGUUAUAUUAUAAUUACAAGGAUCUAGAUCUUGGAACUAACAAUGUUAACGGCUACAUAAAUUACGAGCAAGCCAACGUUUGGGGUCUUAAAUAUUUCAAGAAUAACUUCAAAAGAUUGGUGCAAAUAAAGACCAUGGUUGAUCCAAUGAAUUUCUUUAGAAACGAGCAAAGUGUCCCUCUUCUUUGGUCCCCAUGAAAGAAGAAAGAUCAUUUGGGUUGAGAGGAAGGAUUGCGCGAAACUGUGAUUUUAAGUCACCCUUAUCUCUUUCCAAUAAGAGAAUGACAAAUCAGAUUUUUCCUUCUGAUUUUCAGCUUUUCUUCUUGAAAAAAAUUCAAAUCAAACUAAAAAUGUUAAAUAUUAAGGGGAAAAUUCUUAUUUGUCAUUCUCCUAUUGGAAAGAGAUAAGGAUGACGUAAAUCAUAGUUUAAUCCCUCCCCGUUGGGUUGAAGAUUUCAAAGCUUUUUCUUAAACAUGAAAUAAUAUUUGGAUGAAAAAUAAUUCUAUAUUGUAAAAUAAAGAGUUAUUUUUUUGUCACUAUAUCGGUCAUGAUGAAUAGUUUAGUGCAUAAUGUAUUAUUUAAAUCAUUUGUACGGUGAAUGUACUUGACAGAUCUUUGUAUUUUAGUGAUUAGAUCAGAUGAUUUGUUAUUUUAAUUUUUUAUUUAAUAAAAAUUUCAAUAAAAUAAGUGUUGAAUAAAAUAGUAGGUAAAUAGAUGUUUAUCCUUAUGUUGAAAAAAAGUAUUGAUUUAAUUUUAUUAAAAAUAUUUAUAUUUGAACUAAAUUAUAUUUUUUCUGAAAUAAAAUAUUCAAAUUACCAUAUUUCACUUUUAUCCAAAAUUAUUUAAAAUAAUACAAAAUGUUAUAUUAAUAAAACUAAGAAAUAAUUAAUUUUUAAAAAUUAAUAUUUACUUUUAUCAAAUGGCAUAAUAUUUAAUAUUUAAUUUUUACUAAUUUAACAACAUUUUUUAUACAUAAACUUAGUACUAAAAAUUUAUCACUUAAUUUUUCAUUGUAUAAAAUAACAUAUAAUUUUUUAAUCCCUUCAAUAUCAAAUAUUUAAAAAAUCAUUUAAUUGAUUUUUUCUAUAAAAACCAUUAAAAAAUGUUAGUAAAAAGGUCGUUGCUAAGACAGAUGCAACAUAACCACAUUAGUGCUUGAGAUGGUGGGCACUCCUGCAAGCACUAAAUGAAGAACAAUAAUCACACAAGACACAAAGAUAUGAUGACACAAUUUGGUUUCCCUACUUUGCAGAGCCUAACUUAGUUAGAAACGUGCACUUUCUUCAACAAUGACAAGGUGAACCUAUUUAAUCACAUAUACAGUAAUAGUUUCCCUCACCCUUGCACUUUGAAGACAUAAUACUCUUACAACUAUGAUCACCCCUUGUGAUCACAAGUAAAACACAACAACGAGAUUCACUAUAAAAAUAGCACUCUUACAAUUCAGUGCCUAACUCUCAAUACAUUUACCUAGGCAAGUCUCUCAAAUAUAUAGACUUUAAUUUUGAGACUUGCUUACAAUUUGAAGAUCUAAUACAAUCCCAUUAAAAUAAUAAUACCAUAAACAUAAUGCAAUAUAAUAAUAACAUAUUGUUAAGCUCGAUAAUCAUCAAGAGGGAGUGAAUUGGUGUUUAAAAAACUAUAAGAAAAUAUGAAAAAUAAAUGAGACUCAAGAAUUUAUAGUGGUUCGACCCCAAUUGCCUACCUUUCAUUACCUUAGCUUACCACAACUAAGGAUUUCUCAAAUUCACUAUAUUUGAACCUUUGGAGGGUAAUGGUUAACUUUUACAAGGCACUAUCUUUUCAUUAGGCAAGAUAAAGUCACUUUCACCUUAAGUAAACCUUUACAAAGAUGAGGAAAAAGAAUAAAGAUUAAAAACUACUCUUAAAAGAAGAUAUUACAAUGAUAAGACUCACUCAAUAAUAAUACAACACUUGAAAAGAAUAAAAAAGAUGGUUGCUCAAGUGUGUGUAUGAAGAACAAAGAGAAUGUCAAUGAAAAGAUUGGAUUUUUGUGUAAUUUACUGUAUAAAUUAACUUGUUUCUUGUCUUCAAUAUGGAGCUAUUGACUCGCAUAUAUGCCUUCUAAUAACCUUGGAGCCGUUUGGAGACGUUGGGAGUAAAUUAGAGCUGUUGUUGCAAUUAAUUCGAGCAUUAAUUACAAAUUGUAGACUACUUGUAUAGGUACAAGUAGACUUGUGCCAGUAGAAGUCUUCUCGUUGAAGCCCAAUGUAUCGGUAGAAGUCUACUUUAUUAGUAAAAGUUUGAGGGUUUCAAAGGUUCAAAAUUAUACCAAUAGUUGUAUCGGUAGAAGGUGCAGAAGAAUCCAAAAAUUGCUCACUGACUUAUUUGUACCAAUAGUCUAAUUUAUGUUUUAUGUAAAUAAACACAUACAAUUUAGAGAGAAACAAAUUACUAACUUAAGAUAUUUUAAAAAGGAAAACAUCCAAAGCAUAGCUGUAUAGCCCAAAUAUAAAUAAAAUUGACCAUGAAGUCAGCAUAGUCCACAUAUAAGGUUCAAUAAAUUGCCAACACCUGAAUAUGAAAACGGUCUCCACGCAAAUUUUGUUAGCACGGAAGCGGGCAUUCUCUCUGACACCACUGACACCAAAUUGCUAGUUUUAUAUUUUUCAAUAACCUUCUCUUCUGACAAUUUGAAAAAAUAUAAUUGAAAAAUAUUUUAAAAUACAUUAUAAAAACUUAUUUUAAAAAAUGAUUGAAAAUAUAUCUAAAUCUAUUAAAAGUAAAAAAGCAAUUAAAGGAAGAAGAAAUUUAAAAUAUUUUUAAAUUAAAAAUACUUUAUAAACAUUUUAAAUAUGAAAAUAAACUAUGUUUUAAAACUAAUUUAUAGCACUUGAUUCAAGACGGAAAAACAUGCCUUUUUUUUAUUUAAAACAUUAAAACUAAUAAAAAAAUACUUUUAAAGAUUGAUAAAUUUUUGUGUCAAACUUCCAAACCAUUUUAGACACCUUGAUGUUUCUUGGGCUUGGGUUGUGAAAUAAUAUUAGUUAAACCUUUCGAUUACUUUUGAAUUUAUAUAUUAUGAGCCCAAAAUGAAAUUUUAUAACUAAAAUUAUAGUCGAAAUACGGUAAUAAUAUUGUAUUGAAAGUUUACUCAUUUUUCUCGAAUUAUUCACCUAAAUCUAUAAUAAAUAAAAUAUAAGUAUAAAUAAUAUAAUUAAGAAGUUAAAUAACAAAAUUCAAGAGGGAAUAUAUCAUAAAUAGAUUGAAAAAUACGCACUUAUCAAUUUGGGUUGUUUUGGUUUUAGUUUUUUCAGAUUCGAAUCAUUUGAGUUUGAGUCUAAGUUUUUGAGCUGAGUCGUUAUAGGUUUUGAUAUUUUUUAUAAUAGUAAUUUCAAAUUUCAAUCAUUAAGAGUUUAAAUUAUUUCGUGCUCAGUUCAAUUUUGUAUUUAGUUUAGUUUAAGUUCAAAUUGUACAAAAUAAGAUGAUUACCUAUUUAUCAUGAAAUCGAAUUGAAUUGAGUUAGGAUGGAUAGUAUUUUUAAAUGGGGAAUAAAUUUUUUAAUUUAUUAAUUCAACCCUAGUAAAAAGUAACAUUUAACAAUUUUUUAAGUUAAAUUUUUUUAAACUUUAACUUCAAUUAAUUUUAAAUAUUUUAAUUAAUUAAAAUUUAUAAAUACUUUAAAAUUAUUGUUUAUAAUAUAUUUUUUUAAACUCUUAUUCAUAACCAAUUAUAAAAAAUAAAAGAAUUAAAUUAAAAAGUAUUGACCACUAAAAAUAAUAAAUUUUCAUUAAACCAAAGAAAUAUUUCUUUUGGAGGGUUACCUUGACAGUUUUGUCUCAUUGUAAAGGAAGAAUUCGGAGGCUGUAUGCCCCUCAUGAGUGGUCACCUUCAUCUACCAGAAAUAUCUCCGACCGCACCAAAUCACACCGCUCACUUCCCACAGCCUCAAUUGAGUUUCAACAAAAAAAAAAGGCAUAAUACUAAAUUUAGUCCUUAGACUUUACAUUUUUCAAUUCGAACCUUAUUCUUUUUUUGAGCUAAAUUUAGCUCUCAAGCUUUUUAAAAAAAGAGUAAAAUAAUUUUUAAUGGAAAUGCUCGACUAAAACAUUAAUUUUUAACAAUGUCAGCUUGACAACCCACAUGAUAGUCCUUAUAUACUUCAUAUUGAUUUGGCAUUAUUUAUCUUAUAUGCGUCAACAAAUAAUUUAAAAAUUAUAAAAAGGGAUAAUAGAAAGUUUUACGCUAUACUUUAACGAAAUUAUCAAUGUGGUACCUAAACUUUUAUUCCGCCUAUGGGAUUUGGUACUCGAUCCUUAUCUUCCCACAUCAACAAAAUUUCUGACACCAUUAGGGUCAGGUACCAAAUCAAUAGACAAAAUAAAAGUUUAGGUACCGCAAUGGAUAAAGUGAAAGUACAAGUACCACAUUGACAAUUUUAUUAAAGAAUACGGGUAAAACUUAUCAUUAUCCCUUAUAAAUAUUCAAAAAAUUUUAAAAAAAUUGUAUAAAUUACAUGUGAAUGGCCAAGAAAUUAUGUUUUAAAAAAACAAUAUUUUAAUUAGUAUUUCUGCUAAAAUAACAAAAAAAAAUUAUUUUUUAAAAAGGUUAACUGACAAAAUUAGCUUAAAGAAAAUAAAGAUCAAAUUGAUAAAAGAUGUAAAUAUUGAAGGUUAAAUUUGAUAUUAUGCCAGAAAAACACACUAACUACCUUCCAUCUUGCCGCGGCUCAUUGUUUAGUCCCUCGUCAGUCGUCACUGUAUUUUCCUUUGGAUUUUACUUUUUUAUUAUUUUGUUUUACUUCAAAAUAUCUCAAAAAUCAAAAUUUCCAUUCAUAGAAUCCGAUAAUUGCUUUAGGGUUUUAAUUUUGGGGGUCAGCCAUAGAAAAUGUCUCAAUUCUCCUCCGCAUUCACGGCCGCCUCCUCGGUCUCACUUCCUCCUCCGUCGUUCUACGUAUCGGUUUCUAAACGCAGCUUCAUCUAUUGUUGUUCGUCGUCGCAGUCUACAACGACCGUUGUUAAUGGGAAAUUCGAUGGUAAAAUCGUUGAAAGAGAUGAGAUUCGUUUCGGCUUGCCUAGCAAAGGUCGCAUGGCUGGUGACACUCUCGAUCUACUCAAGGUAGUACUGGCUUAACACUUGUUUCUUAUUAAAGUUUGUGAAUUAUGAUUAGAGUCAAGCAUUACGAGCUAUAAUAUAGCUGUUAAUUGUAUAGGAAUGGUGAAAUAUACCUUCCGUCCUUAUGCUUUAACAAAGUUUGAGAUUUAAUUGCUAUACAAAGUUAAAAAAAUUGAAUCUAUUCUGGUCUAAACGUUGAUAAGAUAGUAUUUUCUGUUAAAAUUUGCUUAUAAUCAGGUAUGCUUACUGGAUAAUAAUGGUUUGCUUUUGAAAUUUGUAUGAUUGCACCGUUAGCUUGAUUGCAUGGAUGGUUAAUUUUGAUGGAAAAUAUUAAUGGUGUCAACUACUGAGUUAAACUCUUUUAAAUAAAAAAUGUAAGGGGAUUAAUUUUAGCUUUUUAAAGUACAAGGGCUAAAUCUCAAAUUGCAUUAGGACUAGCAGCGCAAUUUGACCUUUAGAAAUUGAUUUUUUUUCUUUAUUAAUUAAUUUUAUAUGGAUUUGUUUAUUUUGUAUAAGAAACUGUAAAAGUGAGGCAUUGGCACUUGGUGUGCAAAAAAAUGCUUUGCAUACAAAAGUGGAUAACAUUUAUGAUAAGUUAAUUUAAAAUGUAUUUUUUUAAUAAUAAAAAUGUACAUAAAUUUAGUAAUCAUGUCAUCAUGUCCUCAUUUUGUCUUUCCUUUAGAGAAAAAAAAAUCUCUAUCAAACUCUUUGGUCUGACCCCUUCCAUUAUUCUGUAUUUGUCAAAAGGAUUGUCAAUUGUCGGUUAAGCAGGUCAAUCCUAGACAGUAUGUUGCACAAAUACCUCAGGUUUGUGCUAUCUUUCUCUCUCACAAUAUGCUUUGUACUUGGGACCUGUAUAUGAUUUAUAUGUAGGAUUGAUACUGAACGCAUAAUUUGUUUUUAUCCCAGCUUUCCAAUGUAGAAGUCUGGUUUCAGCGGCCCAAAGACAUUGUACGGAAAUUGUUAUCUGGAGAUUUAGAUCUUGGUAUUGUGGGGCUUGAUACUGUCAGUGAAUAUGGGCGGGUAAGUAGUUAGACAUUGCAUGGCCCAAAAACAUUUUUUGAUUCAUUCUGUCAUUAUCAAAAUGUUACUGAGAAUCCAAAUAUCUAAUUCUAUGCAGUGAAAAUGUUAGAAUUUCAGCCUUGCCGAUUAUUUUUGCCAUGUCAUCUUAGAACUAGUUAUACAUUAUUGUUUGAGUUAUCUAAUGUUAGGCUUGGAGGUGAUCUGGUUUAUUCUACUACUGCACUUAUCCUUUCGCCAAUAUGCAAAAAGAUUCUUUCUUGAAAAAAUGAAUGCAGAAUGGAACUUUACUGCUUCAAUACUUUUAUCAGGGGGAUGAAGAUCUUAUCAUUGUUCAUGAUGCCCUCAAGUAUGGAGAUUGCCGUUUGUCCCUUGCAGUAAGCAAAUUCUUUGUUACUAGUACAUAGCCAGAUGCAUCUUCCUGAUAUCCUUGCUACUGAUGAUUUGCAUAUUUUUGUUCAGAUUCCUAAGUAUGGGAUCUUUGAGAAUAUCAAUUCACUGAAGGAGCUAGCUCAAAUGCCUCGGUGGACUAUUGAUAGACCUCUAAGAGUUGCAACUGGCUUCACUUAUGUAUAAUAUCCGCUUAAAUGGAUUUUGAUAAUUAUAUUGAUUUUAGAAAUUAUUUUUGGUACCAUCUGCUUGGGUUAGCUUAUUGCCUAUUGGCAAUUGUUUCUAUUUGACUUUAAUUUCUUUUCUAUCUUUCUACCUAGCUUGGUCCUAAAUUUAUGCAAGAAAACGGAUUGAAGCAUGUGAUAUUUUCAACUGCUGAUGGAGCCUUAGAGGCAGCUCCUGCGGUAAGAGUUAAAUUCUCCCGGAGUACCUGUAGUUUACUUUUCAUUUGAAGUUAUUUAAAAUUGAAUGAAAGAGUAGCUCAUCCUUCUACAAUUCUGUGUGUAAUAAUUUACUUAAACCUUACUGGACACUCUUAUCAUGCAUAUUAUUGCUUUCCUAAAGGAAAAAUAUUCCCGCUUGAACUUCAGACUUCCAAGUCUAGUUGCUCAUACACCUCAGUUAAUUCUCUGCUGCCUGCUUACGAGUCUUAAGAUUGUUUUCCGGAUUCAUAAACUAUAAAUAGAUUAGUUCUCUUUCUCUCUCUCAAUUUAAACGGUAUGGGCAUGCAUUAUCUGAUAUGUGAUAAGAGAAAAAAGAUUGUUCCGUUCCCAUUUUGGGGUUAGAUGAUAAAAAUGGAAGGAGUGAAUGAAGGGAAGUGAGGUUGUUUAUAUGACAAAAGGAAGAAGUAACAAGGGAACGUAGCAAUGAGACUACCAUAGAAACUAAGAUACAUAAUCAGAGGAAAGAAGAGAAAGAAGCUUACCAGGCAACGAAUAUGCUGCCUAACUAAUAACUCCAUAUUGAGUUCUUACUCAAUUUAGGGGUGGGGGUGGCAGGUUGGAAGCCCUUUAUUAAUGAGGUAGCUGACCCUAAAGGCAAUUCUGCUGUUCUACCUGCCUGUUUUUCACCCAAUUGAUAUUUGACUGAACAAAAUGUCCUGUCUUUCCCUUAUUGAAGGAAAUGAUAUUUGAAAGACAGUACUUACUAGAUAUGGAUGAAGCAGUUUGGAAAAUGAUGGUUCUAUUUGUCUUCAUGAUGUUAUGUAAAUAACUUCUCUUUGUUAUUAAUAUAGAUGGGAAUAGCUGAUGCAAUCUUGGACCUUGUGAGUAGCGGGACAACUCUGAGGGAAAACAACUUGAAAGAGAUUGAAGGUGGAGUUGUAUUGGAAAGUCAGGUAACCAGCUCUAUAUCUUUCCUGUUCCUGCAAUUUUCAAGAAUGUUAUCUUGUCAUCUGGAGUAUGCUAUUUUAAAAGGAUUUGUUUUUAGAAUAGUCCAUUUUUCUUCAGGCUGUUCUAGUUGCAAGCAGAAAAGCAUUAAUCCAGCGGAAGGGAGCUCUAGACACAACACACGAGAUUCUGGAAAGAUUUGAGGCUCAUUUGAGGGCAGCUGAUCAGUUCAUGGUAUGGAUAUUCGUGAUUCUUUGUUGUUAUCUUUUCCCUUCCCUCCCAGUAUUCAUCCUGUUUUGUUAUCUUUUCCCUUCCCUCCCAGUAUUCAUCCUGUUUAUCUUUUUAUGGCAGGUAACUGCAAAUAUGAGGGGCAGUAGCGCAGAGGAAGUUGCUGAGCGAGUACUGAGCCAGCCAUCAUUAUCUGGGUUGCAGGUGAGUUUUGAAAAGAUUUUGCUUCCUGGAGACUCUCACUUUUUCCUAAUCUAUUGCUAAAUCUAAGAUGGGUUUUAGAAAUAUCCAUGUUUGCAUUUUGCAGGGCCCCACAGUAUCUCCAGUUCUUUGCAAGCGUGAUGGAAAAGUAGCUGCUGACUACUAUGCGAUAGUCAUAUGUGUACCGAAAAAAGCUCUAUACAAGUCUGUACAACAGUUGAGAGCGGUAAGUCAUGACAAAUUAUGAUAAAUACUGCCUAUAUGUUAUGGAAACUGUGGUUUUAAUGCUUGUUCUAUUUGCAGCACUAGUUUAAGUAGUGCACAUCAUUAUAGUCAUGAAUUUGAAUUUUCUCUGGUUCAGAUUGGAGGCAGUGGAGUGCUAAUUUCACCAUUGACCUACAUUUUCGACGAAGAGACCCCAAGAUGGAGGGAACUGCUCUCGAAGCUUGGUCUUUAGUCUUUUACGAUGAAUACAUGGGUGCAUUACUUGCAUUUCAUAUCAGAAGUUUUGAAGUCUUAAGGUACCAAGGUGGAUUGGAAACUACUUUGGUGAGAGCAAGAACCUCCAAAAGUUUUGUAUUAUAGCCUUGUUUAAUUAAAAUGUCAUUCUCCUGCCCCUUCUCUUUCGUUUGUUUUUCUUUUCUGAUAGUGCAAUCCUCAUUGCAACCAUAAAUGAUGAUUUAGAGAACAUGUCCUGCCCCUUCUCUUUCGUUUGUUUUUCUUUUCUGAUAGUGCAAUCCUCAUUGCAACCAUAAACGAUGAUUUAGAGAACAUGUUUCCCUUUUCGAUUGUGUAUGUAUGAUUACGGGGAACUGUUUGUAUAGCUGCUAGUUUGCAGUUCUUAUUGAAAUGUAUAGUCACUUUAUGUACGCUCUUAGCUUAGAUGAAAUCUACGUGCUUGGUAAUUUUAUUACAUCCUUGGGGAAAUACAACAAAACAUCUCUCCUUUCAAAUUAAUAUAAUUCACUAAGCCCAAAAAGACAGGUGGAAAACCAUCAAAGGAACUUAAAGUAAGGAGCUCUCGAACUGGUAACUGGCAUUUCAACCUUGUUAUGUAGAGCUAGAAUGCUUGGAUGUUCCAUUUCUCUUUGUUCUUGUGAGCCCAACCCAAAUAACUCGAUGACUUUUGGUUCACUAACUGUUAUAUCUGGCUUCAGGCUAAUAAAUUCAAACAUCAGACCAGGUUGAUUUUGAAGCCCUUCAGUCUGUUCAUUGUUUACAGUUCGACCAGUGCUGCUGUUGGAGGCAACAGUUGCUUCCUCUUCAACAUCAGUGUAGCUUGCCACCGCCAAGGCUGAUGGCUCUUCAGCAUCGUGGUUCUGAACUAGUGGUAAACAUUCUCCCCUAAUCAUUCCAAUUCUGUUGUGCCCCUAACCAUCUUUAUCCAUCUUCCUACAAACCAUCACUGUAUCACCGAUUGCCGGCUUCCAACGCUGCAAAAAUGGAAGCCAUCCCUUACUAAGAACAGGCUUCGGAUAGUCUUUCUUCCUCCUUAUAGAACAACAAAAUAACCAGACUUUGCCAUGGUCAGUCAUCCUUCACCUUAAACUCCCACUUUAUUUGGAACAGACAACCUGUUCUCAGUAUCAAUCUUUGUAAGUCUCUUGACGAAUAAUAGUUUUUCUAUUUCCAUUGUUUAAGGAAAAGUGAGUUGAAGAGGUAGAUUAAAUAUUAUUUUGGUAUGGAGUGAUAUGGAGUACACGGAUUGUUUGGAGAAGGGGGGGGGGGUUACUUUAAAAAUAUUAUUUUGGUAGAUUAAAAACACUAAUUUUUGCUGACAUGGAGUUGAUAUUUGGAGGGGGCUUUUAAGAAAAUCUUAUCAACUUUCACAAAAAAUAAUUAAUGGUUUUGUUUGGUAUUGUAUGAGUUUUAAUUUUUAUAUUUUAAUUUGAUAUUGUUUUAUGACAUUAUUUGUCAGUUUAAAUGGUCAAUAUUCACUAUUAUGGUUUAGGUCUUUUUAUAAUGUCUAAAUUUCAAAUUUAAUUUAAUUCAUAGGAAACUUUCUACAAAUAGAAUGAGAGGGUUGACAAUUUUAUAGAGAUAUAAUAAAAUAUUUAAAAAAUAAGUAUUUUAGAAAAGGAGACGCAACAAAUUUUUAAACCUGUUUUUAGAGUAAAAAAAAUAUAUUUUAAAUGUAUUUUUUAUUAACCCGAGAUUUUUAAUUUAAAAGAUUAUUUUCGUAUAUUAAGAAUUUUUGCUGACAUAGAUUUGGUAUUUGGAGGGGGUUUUAAGAAAAUCUUAUUGGAUUAAUUGUUGAGGCUAAGUAUAGAAUGAUAUGGCAAAUUUUGGAUUUAAUUAUUUGAGUUAGGGGUGAAGUUAGAAAAUUCUUUUAGGCGAUAAAAAUGAAAUUUUAAUUUUUAAUAGUCUAUAUUUUUAUAAUUUUUAAAAGAUUAAAUUAAUUUUUUUUAUAAUUUUAGAGAAGCAAAUUUUAAUUUUACCUUUAUUAAUUUAAAAUUUUAAAAUUUUUUAAAGAGUCUAAAUAGUAUUUUUCUAUUUUAAGGGGAGUCGAGCCUUGUUAGCCCCUCAGAUUCACCUUUGAUUUGAGCUAUAUCUAAAUUCUGAAUUUAUGUCUUGUAUUCUAAUUUAACAUGUCAAAUUUAAAAAUUGGGUUUUAUUUUAAAUUUAUAUAAUAUGUACCAUCCAAUAUUUAAUUCGGUCGUCCUGAGCUACGAGAUGCUACAAUCAUUAUUGGAGCAAUUAGAGUCACAUAUACUUCAUACAACCACUCACACAUGCAAUUUAAUGCAUUUCACAUUCAUUCUAUGUCAUAUAAUCAUUUUCGGGUGCCAUAUGAGCUUAAGAAAUGUUUUUUCUUUGUCUUCCUUUAUUUUUUUUGUAACUGUGUAAUUUGGUAAUUUGGUGCCAUACGAGCUUACAAAAUCCUCACCAUUUACGUCACCCUGGAUUGUUCGGCAAUGAUGAUUCAAGUAUAAAAAUUAUCACCACAGAUUAUCCGGCAACAAUAAUUUUCAAUUAAUAAUUUAAUUCUAUAAUAUGUCAAUUAUAUUCGACUCGGUCCGACAACUAAUAGGAUAAUUUUAAUAUACAAUUCAAAUCAAGCUUAUUUAUUUCAAAUUUUCAUCAUCAACUUAUCAAUUCAAUACGUGACAUAUAUAUACCAACUCAAGUUCAUACCAAUUUCACAUAUCAAUUUAAGUCAUAAAAUUUUUAUUUUAUUCAAUUUAGUCCUUGCUUCAAUAUUCAAUCCAACUCAUAUCAAUUCAACUCAAGCAUUCAUCAAGAACUCACCUCCAACUUCAUAUGCUUCCUCUUCAACAUCACCGUAGCUUGCUACCGCCAAGGCUGAUGGUUCUUCGGCAUCGUGGUUCCGAAUUAAAGGUGAAUCUCUUCUCUUGAUCACUUCAAUUCUAUAGUACUCCUUACCAUCUUUAUCCAUCAUCCUAUAAACUCUCACUCCAUCACCGAUUUCCAGCUUCCAACACCGCACAAAUGGAAGCCAUCCUUUACUGAGAACCGGCUUCCGAUAGCCUUUCUUCUUCCUUAUUGAACAACAAAACACCCAGUCUUUCCCAUUGUCGUCCUUCACCUUAAACUCCACCUUAUGCCGGUUUUGGAAAUUCAGGAAACAUCUUUUCUUCUUAGUUGGAACAGACAACCGCACCUUGAUAUCCGUCCUUGAAAGUAUCUUCAUGAAUAGUGGUUUCUCUAUUGCCAUUGCUUUAAGGAAAAAAAGUGAGUUGAAGAGGUAUUUUUCUAAGGGUUUUAGUGUUUCCUACCCAGAGAAACAAAGAAAAUGGCUGUUUACCUUUGUCCUUCACUCUUAUUUCUUUGACCGAUGUGAGGGUAGGUUCCCGCUUUUCUGCCGUUCUUCCUUUGUAAGGAAUUGGAUGCAAUUUCUUCGAACAAAGCAAGAAAGAACAGGUUUUAUUAAAAAAAAAAAAGUCAACUAGUUAUAUAUAUUUUAAAAUUUGUAUAAUAACAACUUUAAAUUUUAAUAUUUAUAAAUUGUGUCAAUUUAUUUUUUAUUAUAAAAAAUUAACCCUCAAUAUUUACAUAUUGUGUAAUUUGGUUUUUCUUUUUUUUUUUUACAAUUUUAUUUUUCUUUGUAAUAUUGAGGGUUAAUUUUAAAAGAAUGAGAAAAGAUUAAGAUUAUUAUCUUAAAUUUUUUGUGUUUUCAUUUUUUUUGUAUGUUUUCAAUUAUAUUUAGUUGAUAAAUUUGUUUUUUAAAUAUUUACUAAUAGUUUAAUGAUCAUUUUGUACUUUUUAUAGUUGGGUGAUCGAAAAAAAUUAUAAAUAAUUGUGUAAUUACUAAUGUAAUUUACCCAAAAAAUUAUGCACGCGAUAAUCGGUGGAAGAGGGAUUUUUUUUAUAAAUAUUUAAACUAAAUUUGAAUUUUGAAGUGAUAAUUAUUAAAAAGGUUUUAGUUAGGAGUAAGUAAUACCAUUUACUAUUCGGGUAACCCUCUAAUUUUAUGAAUUAAGAAAAACCUUAUUUCUAUAAUGUUUAAAUUUAUAUUUUUAAUUUGAAAUUCUAUUAAAAUAUAUUUUUUGAUAUAUUAAAAACUAGAGUUACCCUGGCGCUGGGUUUUUAUAAAAUUUUUGUUUCAUUAAUAAUAAAUUUUAAUUUAAAAUGAAAUAAAUUAUAUAUUUAUCCUAGAUUAGUAUUUGCAUUAUUUAUACCCACGUAAUCAAGUGGUAAAAACAUACCCACCUAAUUCGCCCUCUAUUUUUAUAAUUGCAAAAAUUAUGGUAGCGUUAUUACUAAGUUUGAAAUUUAAUUUUUAUAUUUUAAUUUAGAUUUUUUUCAUUUUUAUAAUAUUGUUUGUUAGACUAAAUGGUUGACAUUUAUUUACUAUUAUGAUUUUAUCCUUUUAUAAUGCUUAAAUUUGAAAUUUAAUUUAAUUCAUAAGAAACUUCCUUCUUUUUAUAAAAUAAAUAAUAAAAAAAUUUAUUUACUCUUAAUUUCAUAUAAGAUGAGAAAAAUAUUUGGUACAUUGUCGGUGGAGUUUUUAGGUUUCAUAAGUCGGGAUAGAGGGUUGAAAAGCUGUUUUCAAAAUAAAAAAACUAACCCAAGAUUUUUAUUUAAAAAAUUAUUUCUGGCAUGAAUUUGGUAUUCGGAGGUGUUUUAAGAAAAUCUUAUAAGAAUGACAUAAUUUGGAGUUAAGUAUUUGAGCUAUAUUUAAAUUCUGAAUUUAUUUCUUGUUAAAUUUUAUUGUUUUAAUAAUCUUAAAUUUCUCGAAUAUUGAUUUGGGUACGUUUUUGUGGUUCCCGUCAUCUAUAUACGAGCUAAUAAAAACUUGUAUGCUCUGUUAAUUGAAGGUUUUAUCUCUGGCAGGUUGUAAUGUUAUUAUUCAGUUUACAACGUCUUCUAUUCCUUCGUAUUCUAUGCAAACAGCCUUACUUUCGGCUUCUGCCUGUGGUCACUUGGAUAAGCUCACUUGCAACUUUAUUUGGGGAGGGUCUACAUAUUAUUCUCAUAAUCACUAGGUGAGUUGGGACCUAGCUUGUCGUACAAACGUGAGUCGGGGUCUUGGACUGCGUAAAGCUCGCUUAAAUAUUAUGUCCAUGCUUGCUAAAUCUAGUUGGAGGAUUUUUAAUCAACAUGAUUCUCUUUGGUGUCAUGUUUUCCGGUCAAAAUAUUUGGGUCAUUGUAAUUUCUUGCAAGCUGAGUCAAAGGGUAAUAUAUCGUCGACUUGGAGGGGCCUGUUGAAAUCAAGGAUGGCGCAUAGGUGUUGGUACCCAACUGAAUUUUUGGUCGGAUUGGUGUUUCAUCUGUUCUAUCUCACCAUGAUAAAGAGCAUGCCCUAUGAAUAUACAUGAUACAGCUGUCAAAUUUAAACUUAAAUUAAAUUUUAUAUUAUACAAGUACUAAGUUCUUACAAUCAUUUCGCCAUACUAGGCUCGUGCAUCUACACUUACUAAGACUUUAGACUUAAUUCAAUAUAAUACACUUAUUCAACCCUGAGGCAUAGCCUCUAAGGGUGCCCCUCAAUAUGCAUAAUACAGUUAUGACGCCACUCGUGUAAGCCUAGUGGUGUUUGGCUUGAUCCCUCCACACGAUCCUUGAGUCAUUCAUUGACCCUACAUACAAGGCAAUACAUUCAUAAGUUCGAUAAGGCCAAAGUGGUAUUAAGAUGUUUGAAAAUGUGUUUGUGAUGAGACGAAACUCAGAAAGGUAAGAAUAAAAGUUCAUGAUAUGUAUGUGAUUAAGUAUAAAUGAAAUAGACAUAAGUUGAGAAAUAUGGAAAAGUGAAAUGAAAUGAAAGUUUAUAUCGUGAUAAGCUCACCUAUGUUUGUUCGAUAUCCAUACGAUGUUAUGUGCCUAACUUAUUUGAUUAAGUGAACGUGAUAAUUAAUCUUACUCAAAUCGAUGGAAUGUAUGUUUAUGUACACUUGUUUGAAUAAAUACAAUUGGUAAGUUCGUAUGUAAUACGUACUAUUUUAUCAAAAUUUUUUAAUGUUUUGGAAUGAAUUAAAAUGUGAAUGUGAGGCUAUAAUAGCAUUCGAUGGUGAUUCGAAAGUGUAUGGCACUAAGUGUGCGAAUUCAAGAUAGCUUUAGUUGAAUAAAUGGCACUAAGUGUGCGGCACUGAGAGAGCUUCGGUUUAAUGUGAUGGCACUAAGUGUGGAACAUCGUUAUAGCUUCGACUAAUCAUAUUUCACUAAGUGUGCGAGAUCUUUGAGCAUUGAAAGGUUUCAGGAUGGUUUAACGUAUUGAGCAAAGAGGUGAGAAUGUGAUAGAUAAAUACAAGAUAGUACAGGUACGUACAGUACCCAUGUGGUUGUUGAUACUAUGUGUAUGAGGUUUGAUGGAAUAUAUAUAUAUAAAUGAGUAAUGAUUAUAUGAAAUGAAUAUGAUGAUCCUUUCUGGGUAUUCUAUAUAUUCUUUUAUCCUCAGAGAUAUGUGUGUAAUUGUUCAGUUUCUCAUGGAGUUCUUAUGUUGUGAGAAUGUUAGCUAACUAUGAUGUUAGACGAAAGCCCUGUUGAUCUGGUCGGUUUAUGACCAGUUAUUUUUCUGUUUUAUAUGCAUAGUUAGAAAGUGUAUUAUCUUUGCUACGAUGAAAUUCUAGAGUUGAAAUGUGGUGAUUCUGGUAUCUGGAUUUCUUUAAUUUUCAUAUAAGGAAUUGACAUCGACAAAGGUAUAAGUGGUGAAAUCAGAAGCUCCAAUUUGUAUAAUGGAUUUCUUUUCUCAGGUAAGUUAAUUAAAGUCAAUACAUUCAAUCAGAAUAUCCUUGUUACUUUGAGCUAAUAUGAUUGUAAAGGUCUUUGAUUAGCAUGAUAAGAGAAUAUUGAAAGAUUGUGUGUUUUAGUUGUUUUAAUAGCAGGAAGAAAGGAGCAUUUUGUAUGUUAUUAUUUGAUAGUCGAAAUCGACUCGGUUGUCUUUUAUCAGAGUGAGCUGGACCGUUGAAAUGUGAUUUGAGCUAUAUGUAGUUAAAGUAUCCACAGUUAUGGUAAUAAAUUUUGUGCAUUCACGAGUAUAUCGAUGAACAAUCUGAAUGAAGGAUUGAUAUUCUAGAGAGUAUGAUACCAAGAUAUACCUAUUAGAUUUGAUCUAAUCUGAUGAUGUUAUUAUGAGUUAAAGUUGUUCUGAAUGAUAUGGUUAUCACAUUUAUGAAAAUUUAGAUGAUCUGUGCAUGUUAGAAAAGUUGAAAACAGUUGAAGAUAUGAUUAACCGAAGCUCUGGUUCUAAGUCCAGCUUGAAUUGAGUAAUGAAUUUAUGAUUUUUCAGUGAUGCACUAUUGAACGGAUUGAAAUGUUUUUUAUUACAAGAAUGUAAAGUGAUGGUUCAUGUUUUCAAACGGUUAAUGUCACAUUAAAAAGACGGAUUGGAAAAAAAGCUACAAGAAACUAUGAAUACGUAGUUGCAUCUUGGCACGGUAAUACACCUCUAAAUCGGUGGUAAGUCUAAGAAAGUAAUUCAAAACUUUUACGAUGUGCUUCGACAUUGUGUGUUAAAGUUCAAGGUGAUUAGAAAGAGAUAUACGAGGUUGAUAUGAUUUGUGAUUCUUGGAAAUUAGUGGAAGUGAUUCAUUAGAGUUGAAAGAAAUUUCUUUUGAUAAGAUUUUCGGGGACGAAAAUCCCUAAGGGGGGAAGUUGUAACAGUUCGAUUUUGAGCCAAGUCGGAACAAUGGUUUCAGGACCACAAAUCUGACGAGGAAAAAAAUUAUCUUUAUUAUAUUUUUAUGGUCUACGAUUUCACAAAAUGAUUUCAUGAAAAUUUCAUUCGAAAAUUUUGAUGUUUGGGCACUCAAUUUAGUCAAAAGGACUAAAUUGUAAAAAAGUGCAAAACUUGAGUUCUAGAAGCUAGAGGUAUCAAAUUUCUAUGAAAUUUUAAAUUGGAGGUCCUUAAAUGGUAAUUAGACCAUUUUUUAAUUGUUGGACAAAAAUGGACAUGAGAUAGGUGAAAGAGAAUAUUUUUAAGUUAGGGGCAUUUUAGUCAUUUAGUAAUUAAAAUGAAUUAAAAAAUUAAAAGCCAAUUUUUGUUCAUCUUCAACCCCAUGGCUGAAUUUCACAAGGGGAAACCAUAGCUAGGGUUUUUCAAGCUUCCAAGCUUGAUUGUAAGUCCGUUUUAGCCCUAUUUUUAAUGAUUUUUACGUUUUUGAAAUCUUUGUAACAAGAUCUACAUAUCUCUACCAUUUAUUUGAGCUAGGGUUCAUGUUCAAAAAUUUACGCAUGUGUUUCAUGCAUGUAUUUUGAUGUUUAAUGGACGAAUAUGUAAGUUUGAUGUGUGAUAAACAUCUUUUACUAAGUGAUUUUCGGUAAAAAUGCUUAAAAGGACUAAUUUGUAAAAGUUAUGAAAUAUGUCAUAAAAGUGAGAUAAAGUCAAAAUUGUGGGCUGAUAUAAGAGGGAAUAUGAAUCGGCUAGGCUUGGGUAAUGAGAAAAAUGAGUACUUUUCAUUUUGCGAGCCUAGGGGCAAAAGAGUAAAUAUGACAAAGUUUAAGGGUAAAAAUAUAAUUUUGUCAUAAUAUGAUUUUUGGGUCGCAAUGAAUAAUGUGACUAAUAAAUAAGCUAAAUGUGAUAUUUUAGAUCAAGGAAAAUGAUGUUUGGACCUAGAAUGGGGGGGGGGAAACGCUUAUUUGACAGUUAGGUCUUUUUCACCAUUUUUGGUAUCGUGAUAAGUCCGUACGUGAUAAACAUUGUUACAAUUAUGAUUUUAAUUUUUUGAUAUUGCAUAAAUUGUAUACAUGAGAAUACAGUCGGGUUCGACGAUAAAUCGACUAUGUUUAUCACUUAGUGAGAGAAUUGAGAUAACUUCAGCUAUUUAUGGCACUUAGUGUGCGAUUGGGAAUAGCUUCGGCUAUAUUUGGCACUUAGUGUGUGAGACUGAGAUAGCUUCGGCUAUGUAAGGCACUUAGUGUGCGAGAUUAUAAUGGUUUUGGCUAUACGAUGGAAAUUAAUGUGUGAAAUAUUGAGUAUUCGAUAGUGUUACGAGAAUGUAUGAGGUCGUUAUGAAUUGAUACAGGUAUGUACACAGAACUCAUGUGAAUCGAAUUUGGUAUAUGACAUGUAUAGCUAGACUCACAUACGCUAUGUUAGUCCAAGAAUCAACUAAACCAUAGCUCUGAUACCAAUAAAUAUAACACCCCUUACCCGUGUCAGACUCCGGGAUAGGGUACGAGGCAUUACCAAACUUACACAUAAUCGAUCAUAAUAAAACUGUCCAUUUGAGUCAUAGCCACUAAAUUAUUUAUAUCUUGAGUUACAGAACUCCAAAUUAAGUUCUGCAAAUUUUUCUUGAAACUAGACUCAGAUGUCUUCUUACCAUAAAAUUCUCAGAAUUUUUGGUUUAGCCAAUUAGUACAAUUUAUUCUCUAAAGUUUUCCCUAUUUCACUGUUUGACAAUUCCGACAACUCUUCACUAAAAAUUAAUUAUCUCAUUGUAAAAAAUUCGGAUGAUGUUCCCAUUUAUUUCUAUUGAAAAUAGACUCAUUAAGAUUUAAUUUAAUAUCUUAUCCAACCUCUAAUUCAAUUUUUAUAAUUUUUGGUGAUUUUUCAAAUUCAUACUACUGCUACUGUCCAAAACUGUUUUAUUGCUAAUUUUACUCUUUCAUGAUUCCCUUGUACUAACUUUCAUUAACAUACCAUUAUAAACCACAUCACACAAUGACAUUGGCAUGGGCAUAUUAAUAAUUAAUAUGCUUGCAACCCAUUAGCCCAUGUAAGCCAAUUUUUAUGGCUACCUACCAAAUCAAUUCCUUAUUCAUUAUAAGCCAAUACAUUUGGCCAUAUCAUAAUGACACAUACACAAGAUGAUUAAGACCCUAUACAUGCCAUAGACUUAACAUACUUACAUUCACUUAUACCCCACAUGAUAGCUUGAUAGUGUGAUAGAGUCUCCGACGAUCUCCAACUCAAGCUAGCUGAACAAACCUAUAGGAGCUGGGAAAGAAAGGGGGGUAAGCCAUACAACUUAGUAAAUUCGUAUGAAAAUAAUAAGCAAUUUGUUAUAAAAAUCUAAUACAUAAACUUCAACCACUUUACCAUAAAUAAAAGUGUUUUAGAUAUAUGUACCAUUGAUCACAAAGCAAACGAAUGAUCAUUCUCAUAAUGAUCAUGAACUAAUCAUCAUUCGCACACUAAGUGCCAUAAAUAGCCGACUCGAUUCGCACACUAAGUGCUAAACAUAGUCGAUUUAUCGUCGAACCCGACCGUAUUCUCGUGUAUACAAUUUAUGCAAUAUCAAAACAUUAAAAACAAAAUUGUAACGAUGUUUAUCACGUACGAACUUACCUCGAUACCAAAAAUGGUGAAAAAGACCUAACUGUCAAAUACGCGCUUUUCCCCCGUUCUAGGUCCAAACUUCAUUUUCCUUGAUCUAAAAUAUCACAUUUAGCUUAUUUAUUAGUCACAUUAUUCAUUGUGACCCAAAAAUCAUAUUAUGGAAAAAUUAUGUUUUUGCCCCUAAAUUGUCAUAUUUACUCUUUUGCCCCUAGGCUCGUAAAAUGAAAAGUACUCAUUUUUCUCAUUACCCAAGCCUAGCUGAUUCAUAUUCCCUCUUAUAGCAGCCCACAAUUUUGACUUUAUCUCACUUUUAUGACAUAUUUCAUAACUUUUACAAAUUAGUCCUUUUAGGCAUUUUUACCGAAAAUCACUUAGUAAAAGAUGUUUAUCACACAUCAAACUUACAUAUUCCUCCAUCAAACAUCAAAAUACAUGCAUGAAACAAAUGGGUAAAUUUUUGAACAUGAACCCUAGCUCAAAUAAAUGGUAGAGAUAUGUAGAUCUUGUUACAAAGAUUUUAAAAACGUAAAAAUCAUUAAAAACGGGGCUAAAACGGACUUACAAUCGAGCCUGGAAGCUUGAAAAUCCCUAGCCAUGGUUUCCCCUUGUGAAAUUUGGCCAUGGGGUUGAAGAUGGACGAAAAUUGGCUUUUAAUUUUGUUUUUAAUUCAUUUUAAUUACUAAAUGACCAAAAUGCCCCUAACUUAAAAAUAUUCUAUUUCACCCAUUUCAUGUCCAUUUUUGUCCAACAAUUAACCAAUGGUCUGAUUACCAUUUAAGGACCUCCAAUUUAAAAUUUCAUAGCAAUUUGACACCUCUAGCUUCUAGAACUCAAGUUUUGCACUUUUUAUAAUUUAAUUGUUUUGACUAAAUUGAGUGCCCAAACAUCAAAAUUUUCGAACAAAAUUUUCACGAAAUCAUUUCGUAAAAUUGUAGACCAUAAAAAUAUAAUAAAAUGUUUUUCCUAGUCGAAUUUGUGGUCCCGAAACCACUAUUCCAACUAGGCCCAAAAUCGGGUUGUUACAUUCCCCACAAUCGCUAGUUCCUAGCAGACUAUCUCACCCUUAGAUUGACCUUGGCGGACUUUAUCAUUAGAUAGUCCUAAGUGGAAUUCCCAACACUAGAUAGUCUUGACGAAUGUCCUCUUUUUUUGUUAAUCCCUAGCAGAUUUAUCGAUCAGUUAGUCUUUGACGGACAUUCCCUCCAAGAUGGCCCUUGGCAGACUUCCCACUUUUUGGGAGAUCCCUUUGCAAAUAAACCCUUAAAAGUAGAACCUGAGAACCGUUUGCAAAUAGACUUCCCUAUGCAAUGUUUUCCUCAACUUUCUCUUCUUUGGAUCAACCGAAAAAGAUGAUGAUGAAGGGAAGAAAACAUAGAUAAAAUGGGGAGGAAUUCUCUUGCAGAAAUAACCCUUCUUAUAUAUAUAUAUAUAUAUAUCCUAUUUCGCAUGUUCGUCAUAGUCCCAAAUAACCAACUAUCACUAAUUAUUGUAUCUCCCACUAAAGAACCAGUUGGUUCCAACUUAACUAAAGUUGAAACCUAAUUGUUUACCAUUCAGUCACUAAAGUUUCUUGAUUUCUCAAUAGGGUCCAUCGAACUUAUUAUCUUUUCCAAUUUAGCUCACUAUCUUUCUUAAUUUCAGAAUCUAAUAAGAAUCGAGUAUGACAACAUGCCCCAAACUAAUGCAAUGCCCUAUUUCAAAAGAAACAGUGCACGGUCAAUAAAAAUUGUCGAAACCAUUUUUUUUGUAAAAGGGUCGACUUUGAUUUUAAAAACGAAAAAAUUGAGAGUUGCCACCAAUCCUUUUUGAUGAGGUGUGAUCGAGUCACCUCGAAAAAUGGCUGUUUUUAAUAAACGGUUAGAUUUAUUAAAACAACGCUAUUUUUGGUCUACGAAAUUCAGAAAUACGAGUUCAGGAGUCGAUUACGUACGGGGAAGGAUUAGCAUCCUUGUAACGCCCAAAAAUUGAUACCUAAUUGAUUAAUUAGUGCCUUAGUGUCGAAAAUUGAAAACUUUGAAAAGAUUUAAAAUAUGAUCUUUGAUUAAAAUUUUUUGAAAAAGGGGCAUAUUUUACAUUAAUCGAGAAAGAUAAUUAUGUCCCGUAAGUUAGGACACAAUGUCUUGAAUCCCCAAUACGAGAAUACAUGCCAAAAAUUACUAAUUUGAAAAAUAUUUUAUUAUCUCGGUUUUAGAAAGGACCAUACUCCGUAAGUUAGAAUACAAUCUUUUAUUAAUUCCAGAGAUCGUUAAAAACUUAUGUUCGAAAAAAAUAUUUGUAUAUUUGGAUUUGUCGAGAGAAUCAAAAUCCCGUAAGUUAAAGUACGACCUUUUCGAAUCUCAAAAUAUGAAGUGUUAUUUAUUUUAAAGUCAUAAUUUAUGUAUCGAGUAAAAUUAAUGUAACACGAAUUGGUAAAAAUAAAGUACGGUGUUAAUAUGCAUAACAAAAUAAUAAUAAAUGCGAAAAUGUAAAUAAAAAUAAUACGAGCAACAACAACAAAAAUAAGAUAAAUAAAUAAAAAAGGGAUAAAUCAAUUAUAAAAAAAUAACAAGUAAAUAAACAAAUGAAACUAAAACGCCUUUAAAAUAAUAAUGGACACAUAAAUAAAUAAAUAAAAAUAAAUAUCAAGUAAAACAAUAAUAACGAUAAAGAAAAUGAAUAAAAUUAUAAAGAUAUAUAAAAAUAUAUAUGUAUGUGUGUAUAUAUAUAACAAAGUUUGAAAUUAAAAAAGGUAUAAAUGAGUAAAUAAUAAUAAUAUUAAUAAUAGAAUGGCAAAUAAUCCAAAGUUAAAAAACACAAAAGAUAUAAAUAAUUAUAUAAUAAUAUAUAAUAAGACAAAAUAUAUUUAAAAUUUAGAUAAGUAAAUAUAAAUAGAAAUACAAUAAUAAUUAUAAUAAUAAUACAAAAUUAAUAUAAUAUAAUAGUAAUGAAUAAGUAAAUAUAAAAGAAAUUUCAAUUAUAAUAAUAAUGAAGCUACUUAAUAGAAUAACAAAAAUAACAAGAAAAGGACUAAUUUGAAUUUUAAAGCAAAAAUUGGGGCCAAAAUCAGAAAUAAAAUAAAAGGGAAGGACCAUUCUGAACACGUGAAUAACAUGGAGGGACUGAAAGGGUAAUUUUCCCUUCUCCUCCAAAACGACGUCGUUCAAAUAAGGACCAAACUAAGUUCGUAGUAAAUUAUGGAGUACAAUUUAAAAAGGCCAAAGAAACUUGAUUGCAAAACCUCUAAAAAGCGGAGGGGCUAAAAGGGUAAAUAACCCAAAGCUCAAAAAAGCGGAUCCCUUGGUCGGGUCGGGUCGACGAGCGGGUCAUGGGGUAAAAUGACGUCGUAUUGACCACUGGGAUCAAUGUAAUAGCCCGAUUUUGGGUCUAGAUGGAACAGUGGUUUCGGGACCACAAAUUCGACGAGGAAAAAAAUUAUUUUAAAAUUAUGACAUGGGUUGCAUUAUGAUAGGAAGGUUGCAUGAAAAUACUGAUAUGAAAAUUUUAUCGAAUUAGUGAUUAAUUAAGGAAAGGACCUAUUUGUAUAAAAUGUAGAAUUUGAAUUCUAGAAGCUAGAAGGGUUAACUAGCUAUGAAAUUGUAAUACCCCGAAAAUUACUAUAGCAAGAAAGUACGAUAAUAUCUCUGAUAAAGUAAAAUAAGGAAAUAAAGUGCUAAAAAGGGAUAAUUUUGAGUUAUGGCAAUAUUGGGAAGUAUAUUAUAACAUAUUAAUUUAAGAAAGGAUUAAAUUGCAAAAGUGAGAAAAGUUUUGUUACCCAAGAGUAAAUACUCAAAAGUUGAGGGGUUAAAGUGUAAAUAUGAAAAGUUGAAGGACCAAUGGUGUAAAUAUUUUAAGGGUGGAAUAAUCUAGAAACUAAGAAAAAUGGAUGAUUAGGACCAAAUUGAAAAAGGUGAAGAAGUUUGAUGGACUAAAUCACAAUUUUACCAAAUUAAGUGAUGACUCAAGGAUGGAAUUUAAAAGAUCAUGAAGGGCAAAAUGGUCAAUUAGAAGAGAGAGAAAUCUAGAAGAUAAUGAUGAUGUUGGAGAUAUUUUAGAUUAAUAAAUAAAUAAAUAUUAGUUUAUUAAUAUUUUAAUUUGAUUUUUUUAAAUGAUAUUAUAUUAUUAUUAUUAAUCUAUUCCAUCCCCACCAUUUUUGUAUGCAUUAACGUGAGAAGAAGAGGAGAAGAAAGAAAGUUUUGCUUUCUUUACAAUUUGGUCAUUUCACCAAAAAUCCACCAUUUUCACUUAGAAAUCAAAAGAAUUUCCAUAUCCAUCAAGAGAGAAAGAUAACAAGGAGACUAUGGGGAGCUAGAAUAUCAAGUUAGAUUCAAGAAAUAGAAGCUGGAGGAGGGAGAAAAUCAAGUUAAAGAUUGAAAUCAAUUGAGCAAGGUAAGAACAUCAAGAUUUUUAUAUACUUUUGAGUUUGAUAUUAUUGAAAAAGUAGGAAAUUAAUGUUAAGGUAAAGUUUCAUUAUAUAAGGUUUUAUAUUCUUGUUAUGUUAGUAAAGGGAAAUAAGAGAAAGUGAUGGAAAAUAUUGAAGAGAAAGGAAAGGAAAGUGUUAUAAAUUUAGUUAUCAACAUUUUACACUAAAAUAGUUUUGAAACAGCAGCAGUAGUCUGACUUUGAAAACCUACCAAAAAUCGUAUAAAUUGAAUUAGAGGAUGAAAAAAAUAUUAAAUUAAAUCUUAUUGAGUCUAGUUUCUCAUAGAAGAAAUAAUGUAAGCAAUGGAAUUGUAAAUUAUGAGAUAUAAUAGGUUUUGUGAGAUGAGGUCAGAAUGAUUUCGGGUUCCCCUGUACUGACUUUGGAAAAUCAUCAAAAAUUGGAGAAAAAUAAUUAGAGGCUUAAAUUUAUAUUUUUAAAUCCUUACUGAGUCUAUUUUUAAUAUAAAUAAAUGGUAACAUCAUUAGAAUUCUGUACGAGGGGGUAGUUAAUUUUAAGUGAAGAAGGGUCAGAACUGUAAGAUAGCAGAAUAGGGAUGACUUUAAAGAAUAAACUGUACUUAUUGGCUGGACCAAAAAUUCUGAAAAUUUUAUGGAAAUAAGAUAUGUGAGUGUAGUUUCAUAUAAAAUUAACAGAUCUUAAUUUUGAGUUCUGUAGCUCAAGAUAUAAAUAAUUUAGUGACUACGACUCAAGUGGACAACUUUGAAUGAAUAUAUAAGUAAAUGGUGAAAUUAUAGAUAAUGUUACCUAUAAGCAUGUUAUAUACAUUAAGAAUGUGGAAUGGAGAGGAGGAGGAGGAAAAUAUAUGAUUAUUCAACUAGCAUGAGUUUUUAUUAAAAAUGACCAAUUUAUAUGUUUCAGGGACUAAAUUGAACAAAUAUGAAAAUUUAAAAGUAAAUUUUUAAAAAUGUCAAAAGUGACCAAAUUGUAUGAAAUGAAUUGUUUUAUUAUUUAAAUUAGUAAAUUGAAUGAAAUAUUAAUUUAGAUCAAGAUUGGGUGGAAAUUCGAGAAAAAUAGAAAAUUUCCAAAAUGUCCCUAAAUUUUGGUAUUUCUGCAAUUUAGCCUGGUAAGUUCGUAUGAACUAUAUUUUGUUUAAUUUCAAUUGAAGUGAAUGCUAUUUGGCAUUGAAUAUUGUAAAUAUAUGUGUGUUUUAUAUUGGAACUGAAUUAUUAUUGGUAAUAUAUAUAAUUAUUAGAUGCUUUGAAAUGAUUAUCGGAAGCUUGUUGGAGAUAUAUCACAUUAUCCAUUGGUUCUAUCGGUAAUUUUGGAUUACUUGAUUCUGGUUAAAAUGGCAUGUAUAAGUUAAAUUGGUUAACGUUAUCUCAUAAAUGUUUUGAUUUUGAUUGGUUAUAAAUAUGAAUGUUAGAUAAAAAUGAAAUGUUUAAAAAUUAAUUAGUAAACUCCGGUAAUACCUCGUACCCUAUUUUGGUGUCGAAUACGGGUAAGGGGUGUUACAAUUGUAACACCCCUAACCCGUAUCCGUCGCCGAAUUAGGGUUACGAGGCAUUACCGAACAAAUUCAACAUUUUUAAAACCAAACUGAUCACAACGUAAAAAUUUAAUUACUUUCGCAUAGCUAUUAUAAUUUACAAUCAAAAUGUAAUUAACAUCGUACUCAAACCUAUACAUGCCAUAAGAUUGAGUUCAAAUAUUUAACAAAAUACCAAAAGAAGUCGAUAGUGUGAUGGACUAUGCUGAUGAUCCCCGAGCUCGUAACGCGUCUCCAAAAUCUAUAAAAGCAAAUGGACGAAAACAAACAAAGUAAGCUUUUAUAGCUUAGUAAGUCUAUAGCAUAUCUAAAAUACAUAUAAAAGAAUCAUAUAAUUCUUUAAUUAAAUUUAUUGAAAUCACAAUUAUCAAUAAUAAUUACUAAUCAAACAUUGCUAUAUUAAGUCAUUUUGUUUAAAUCUAAAUGGAUGUGUAUUUAUCUAAUACACAUAAACGAACAAAUGUAUAUACAUUAUAUGCAUAUAAUCAAUUUACUAACAUAAUCAUUAACUGCAUAUACUGAUUUCUAUAGUACUUAUUGUUCGCACUUUCAUCGGAUCCAUUUAAAUANNNNNNNNNNNNNNNNNNNNNNNNNNNNNNNNNNNNNNNNNNNNNNNNNNNNNNNNNNNNNNNNNNNNNNNNNNNNNNNNNNNNNNNNNNNNNNNNNNNNNNNNNNNNNNNNNNNNNNNNNNNNNNNNNNNNNNNNNNNNNNNNNNNNNNNNNNNNNNNNNNNNNNNNNNNNNNNNNNNNNNNNNNNNNNNNNNNNNNNNNNNNNNNNNNNNNNNNNNNNNNNNNNNNNNNNNNNNNNNNNNNNNNNNNNNNNNNNNNNNNNNNNNNNNNNNNNNNNNNNNNNNNNNNNNNNNNNNNNNNNNNNNNNNNNNNNNNNNNNNNNNNNNNNNNNNNNNNNNNNNNNNNNNNNNNNNNNNNNNNNNNNNNNNNNNNNNNNNNNNNNNNNNNNNNNNNNNNNNNNNNNNNNNNNNNNNNNNNNNNNNNNNNNNNNNNNNNNNNNNNNNNNNNNNNNNNNNNNNNNNNNNNNNNNNNNNNNNNNNNNNNNNNNNNNNNNNNNNNNNNNNNNNNNNNNNNNNNNNNNNNNNNNNNNNNNNNNNNNNNNNNNNNNNNNNNNNNNNNNNNNNNAUAGCUCAGUUAUAUCUGUACUUACAAUCCAUACUUUUAGCUCAAUACAAAUAAUUGUAUAUACGUUUAUACCCAUUCAAACCACACUUAUUCCAUAAUAUAUAAUUCAUACCUUAAAUUCAAUUCCAAAAAAUUUAUACAAUUAUAUACAUAUAUAUAUUGAGACUUCAUAUACAUAUUUUCAUAACUUCCAUACUUCAAUCGAAUUCAAAAACCCUAUAUAUUUAUAUACACAUAUAUUCGAACAAUAUAUAAAUAUCUUUAAUUCAUAACAUUAGAUUCAUUUCACAGUAAUUGAAACAUACCUUCGAACCACUUAUAUAUAUAUUCGUACCAUAUAUAUGUAUUAUACAUACCUCUGCUUAAAAUCAAGAAUUUAUACCUAUGCAACAUUCAUACUUUAACUAAUUUCAAUAACUUAUAUAUAUAUGUAUAUAUAUCCUAGCAUUAUAUAUACAUAUACAUAUACAUGCUUAUUCAAAUAUCAACUAUACUCUUAUACAUUUCUUACCUUUAUUUCAACCCAUAAAUCUAUACAAGAUUAUACUUGUAUAUUCGAACAUGCUAUAUAUAUAAAUAUCAUCCAUACUUCAAAAUUUAUUCAAUCAAUAUACUUUUAAAUAUAGAUCAACACAAAAUACAAUUAGUAUACAUGUGUAAAUAUUAACUUAAUAACUUUUAAUUGCUAAUAGACUUACCUCGGAUAUCAGCGGACACGAUCGACUAUUCGAUUACUUUCGUUUUUCCCCGAUCCAAAUUCGUUUUCUUCGUUUCUUGAUCUAAACAUAAUCAAAUUUAACCUUUUUAUUCAUCAAAACAUUCAAUUAAGUCCAAAAAUACAUAAAUGGGAAAAUUACCAUUUUGCCCCUAACAUUUUACACUUUUUGCAAUUUAGUCCUUUUUGCACAAAACACAAAAUACACAAAAUUUGCCCAUACCACACAAGGGCCGAAUAUUCAUGGUUCUCAUACAAGUCCACACAUUGCAUUUAUUUCACAUUUUAGUCCCUCAAAAAGUAUUUUCACAAUUUAGCCCUAAAUACCCAAAUUCAUCAAAAAUCCCAAGGCGUAGAACAUUGUCCGUCACGAACAUACGCUCUGUCUACGNNNNNNNNNNNNNNNNNNNNNNNNNNNNNNNNNNNNNNNNNNNNNNNNNNNNNNNNNNNNNNNNNNNNNNNNNNNNNNNNNNNNNNNNNNNNNNNNNNNNNNNNNNNNNNNNNNNNNNNNNNNNNNNNNNNNNNNNNNNNNNNNNNNNNNNNNNNNNNNNNNNNNNNNNNNNNNNNNNNNNNNNNNNNNNNNNNNNNNNNNNNNNNNNNNNNNNNNNNNNNNNNNNNNNNNNNNNNNNNNNNNNNNNNNNNNNNNNNNNNNNNNNNNNNNNNNNNNNNNNNNNNNNNNNNNNNNNNNNNNNNNNNNNNNNNNNNNNNCCAGUUUGACUUUGUCAUUUGGGUUUGGGUCUUGUUGGGCUGAGGUUUUGUUUUCUGAUUUGGGUCAUAUCAUGCCUGUUGUAAUUUGGACUUAUGGAUUGUUUUAUUAUUUUGGGUUUGUUUGGGAUUUAUUGGGCUCGGGCAAAAUGACCUACAAAAAAAAUAGUUAAUAUUGUUUGAUAAAUUGUACGAGCUUCAUCCAAUUGUCUUGAGAAAACUUGUAACAGCCCGAUUUUAGGCCUAGUCAGAACAGUGGUUUCGGGGCCACAAAUCUGAUGAGGGAAAAAUAUGAUUAUUAUUAUAUUUUUAUGGUCUAAAAUUUUACAGAAAAAUUCCGUAAAAAUUUCGUUCGAAAAUUUCGACGUUUGGGCACUCAAUUUAGUCAAAAGGACUAAAUUGUAAAAAGUGCCAAAGUUGAGUUUUACAUGGUAGAAGUGUCUAAUUGUUAUGAGAUUAUAAUUUGGAGGUCCUUAUGUGGUAAUUAGACCAUUAGUUAAUUGAUGGACAAAAAUAGACAUAAGAAAUGGGUGAAAUAGAUUUUUUUUAAGUGGGGGCAUUUUAGUCAUUUGGUAAUAAAAAGAAUAAAAUGGGAAAAAUAUGACAAAAAUCAUCAUCUUCUCCAGAAGUUGCUGCCGAAUUUGAAGAGUCACCAUAGAUAAGGUUUCUUCACUUUCUCAAGCUCAUAGUAAGUGCAUCCUAGCCCCGUUUUUAAUGUUCUUCACAUUUUUGAAAUCCUCGUAGCUCGGUUUAGCUUAUUCUAUCAAUAAUUCAUGUUAGGGUUCAUAUUUGGAAAAAUACUCAUAGGUGAAAUGUGUUUAUUUUGCUGUUUUAUGGUAGAAUAUGAAGCUAUAAAUUAUGUUAAACAACUUUUGCUAAGUGAUUUUAAGCAAAAACGAGUAAAUCGACAUAAUCGAUAAAAAUAUUUAUUGUUCAUAAGUGUAUGUUAGAGUGAGAAUUUGAUGUUUCCAUAGAAGGGAAAAGUGUUUAGCAUGUUGUAAAACAUAAGAAUAAGGUGUGAAAUUUAAUUUUCGAGCUUGGGGACAAAAAUGUAAUUAUGCAAAAGUUUAGGGGCAAAAUCGUAAUUUUUAUAAAUUUUGAGUCGAAGCUUGUUUUAAUAAAUGUGAAUAUUAAACAAGCUCAAUUUGCUGUUAUAGAUCAAGAAAGACGAGAAAUCAACCUUAAUCGGGGAAAAGAGAAGAUUGUGGAUUAAACUGCAAAUCUCUACAUUUUGUAUCGAGGUAAGUUGUAUGUAAUUAAUAUUUUUAUAAUUGUUUUCGUUAUAUUUUGUGAAAAUAUACGUGAAAGGGUUGAUAUUAUAACGUGUCUGAACGAAUUGUAAAUAUAUUUGGAAAGUAAGAAUCUUUGUGGAAAUGUCGUAAUGCUAAAGAUUUGAGUAAGGUAUCGAUGAACACGUGUGUAGUACUGUGUGAAGGCUACUACGUGUAUCGAUAAGUAAUGGUCACAUGUGUAGUACUAAGUGAAGGCUAUUAUGUGUACCAAGAAGCUUUGAGCAUGUGUGUAGUACUGUGUGAAUGCUACCACGUGUCUCGGUAAACUACGGUUACAUGUGUAGUACUAAGUGAAGGCUACUAUGUGUACCAAGAAGCUUUGAGCACGAGUGUAGUACUGAGUGAAGGCGUGAGCCGUAAAACUUGAUCACGUGUGUAGUACUAUGUGAAGGCUACUACGUGUAUCGAAUGAUAAAAAUAAUAUGAGUAGUACUAUAUGAAAAGCUCCGAAUAUUAUUUUAUAUAUACCGUCAUGAUGAUGAAAUAUGAGUAUGUGAUCGGAAUGUAAUAAGUUGUGAAAAGUGAUUGAAGUGAUGAAAUUUGCGUUGUGUUAUAAAAUAAAUUAUUAUAGUGCUAUAUGAAUAAGGAAUGUUGGAAUAAAACAGAUUUGGACAGUGACAGUGAUGUUAGUUUGAAAAAUCACCAAAAACUAUAGAAAUUGAGUUAUAGGUUGAAUAAUAUAUUAAAUUGAAGCUGAAUGAGUCUAUUUUCAUAUGGAAGAAACAAAGUAAGCAAAGGAGUUGUAUAUUUGGAGAUAUUUAAACUUUAUUGAGACAAGGUUGGAUUGAUUUCGAAAUCCCCUGUUCCAACUUUGGAAAAUCACCAAAAAUUGUACAAAAAUAAUUAGGGCUUGAAAUUUACAUUAUUUAAUUCAUUAUUGAGUAUAUUUUUAAUAGAAAGAAACAAGAACAUUUUUUGAAUUUUUUACAAAGAGUUAAAUAAAUUUUAGUGAAGAGAGGUCAGAAGUGUCAAACAGUGAAAUAGGGGAACAUUUAGAGAAUAAACUGUACUAAUUGGCUAAACCAAAAAUUCUGAAAAUUUUAUAGUAAGAAGAUAUAUGAGUCUAGUUUCAGGGAAAAUUUACAGAUAUUAAUUUGGAGUUCCGUAUCUCUGGAUAAAAAUAAUUUACCGACUGUGAUACAGAAAAACAGUUUGCUGGAAGUUGACUAAAUGAUAGAUUUAUGUGUGAUAGAAAUGAUAUAAUAUAUGAUAUUAUCUUAGAAAUNNNNNNNNNNNNNNNNNNNNNNNNNNNNNNNNNNNNNNNNNNNNNNNNNNNNNNNNNNNNNNNNNNNNNNNNNNNNNNNNNNNNNNNNNNNNNNNNNNNNNNNNNNNNNNNNNNNNNNNNNNNNNNNNNNNNNNNNNNNNNNNNNNNNNNNNNNNNNNNNNNNNNNNNNNNNNNNNNNNNNNNNNNNNNNNNNNNNNNNNNNNNNNNNNNNNNNNNNNNNNNNNNNNNNNNNNNNNNNNNNNNNNNNNNNNNNNNNNNNNNNNNNNNNNNNNNNNNNNNNNNNNNNNNNNNNNNNNNNNUAUAUAUUUUUAUUUUUUAAUUUUAAAAUACUUUAUAUAUAUUUUUUUUAUUUUUUUAUUUUUAAAAUAUUUUUUUGUGUUUAUUAAAAAUCGGGCCGGGCCGGGCCAGGCUCAGGCUUAUUAUUUUUUCCCGGGGCGGGCCUGGGCAAAAUUUUAGGCCCAUGUUUCGGGCUGGGCCGGGUUCGGGCCUAAGAGUCGGGCCGAAAUUUUUUCCGGGCCCGGCCCAUGGAUAGGUCUAAUCCUAACUAUCAUCAUCAACUUUUGGGUAUUUUGCAAUCAAUGCUUUUGAAAAACGGCAUGUAUAGAUGACUUAAUGCAAUGUAGUAUAAACGUAUAUAUAUGUAUAAAAUAUGGUUUGGUUUAAAAUGUUGGUAUCUAUAAUUGAUGAAUUAUUUCCCUAAAUCUUUUUGUUCAUAUAGUUUAGGAUGUUAUGGAUGAAUUAAUCAUGUCAGAACAUAUGAUUGUGUUUGGUUGAAAUAUCGAUGUUGCUUGAGAUUGUGUUUCGAAAAUUUGCAGGAGGAAUUGAGUAUUUAUGAAAAGAAAUUAUGUCAAAAUUUUUGUAAAAAAAAAAAAAGAUCGUUUGAUAACACUUCUCGCCUUGUUUCAAAGAUGAAUACGGGUAAGAGGUGUUACAAAACUACUUCGAUGUGUUGUUUUUGAUUCAUCAAGUGAUCACGCAUUCUUACAGCUUAUUGUGACAGCUAUUUGUAAUCUAGCAUGCAUGUCUAAUUUGUUUUUUUUUUUUUUUAAUGCUAGAGUAAGGUGAUUGUGGGGUGAAUCGACCCCACAAGUAACAAGUAAAAAAAAGAGUUACCAACAAAUUGUUGAAAUCUACUUGCUAGGUAAUUUUGUUACAUCCUUGGGGAAUUACAACAGAACAUCUCUCCUUACAAAUUAACAACUCACUAAGCACAAAAAGAUGGGUGGAAAACGAUCAAAAAAACUUUAUGUAAGGAGUUCUCGAACUUGUAACCCGCAUUUUAACCAUGUUAAUGUUAUGCAGAGCUAGAAUACUUGGAUGCUCCAUUUCUCUUUGUUCUUGUGAGCCUAAGUCAGAGCAGUCGAUGGCUCUCGAUUUCCUAUCUGUUUCAUCUGGCUUCUGGCUAAUAAAUUCAAACAUGAGACCAGGUUGAUUAUGAAGCCCUUCAGUCUGCUCAUAGCUUACGGUUAGCUCAGUGCCGGCAAAGGUUAUGGUUGCCUCCUGUUCAACGUCAGUGUAAGCUGCUACCGCCAUGACUCUAUCAGCAUCAUGUAACUUUGAGUAAGGAGCUGCCGAACUAGUAAUCAGAACUUCAUCCACGUUAAUGUUAUGCAGAGCUAGAUUGCUCGGAUGCUCCAUUUCUCUUUGUUUUGAGUCCAACUCAAAGAAGUCGAUGAAUUUAGGUAGAUUACGAAGCUCUUCAGUCCGGUCAUAGGUUAUGGUUCGUUCGGGGCUUCUGUUGGAAGCAAUGGCUCGAUCAGCAUCGCGGUUCUGAACUAGAGGUAAAACUCCUGUCCUAAUCACUUUAAUUCUAUAGUUCCCCUUACCAUCUUUCUCCAUUACCCAAUUAACGAUCACUGUAUCACCGACUGCCAGCUUCCAACACCGCACGAAUUGAAGCCAUCCCUUACUCAGAACCGGCUUCGGGUAGUUAUCUCUCCCCCUCCUUUUAGAACAACCAAAUAACCAAUCUUUCCCAUUGUCGUCCUUCACCUUAACAUCCACCUGAUGCCGACCGUCGAAAUCCAGGAAACAUCUCUUCUUCUUAGAUGGAACAGACAACCGCUUGCCGAUAUCCGUCUUUGUAAGUCUCUUGAUGAAUUGUAGUUUCUCUAUCGCCAUUGUUUAAGGAAAAAGUAAGUUGAAGAGGUAGAAGAAGAGCUUGAAGGGUUUUAGUGUUUACCCAUUGAAACCAAAAUUGAUAUAAAUAGGGGAAAAAUGUGGGGUAGAUGGUGAGUAUUAGUGGAUUCUCUGUUUCAUUUUAAUCUCGCGCAAUUAGCUACGGUGUCGCUCGAUUCUCUGCUAAUAUGGCGCGAGGUUUCUCGUUCAUCUUUAAACUUGGAAGUUCAAAGUAAGCAAAGCCUCUAGUACACUGAUAGUGACAUGGAGUGAUAAGAAAUAUGGUAUUGUGAUAAUAGAUUAUAAUAAGCCAUGGUCUAACCACGUAAUCAGCUCUUUCUUUUAUAAUUGCCAAAAUUAUGGUGGUGGUCUUACUAUGCUUCAUUUUGUGAUAUAAUCUCUAUUUGGUCCUUUACUUUUAUUAUUUUUAGUCUAAAUAAAGUAGCUCUCUAUUUUUAUAAUUAGUAAAAUUAUAGUUUUGAUCCUUUGGUAUAAUUUGAUAUUUUAAUCCUUAUGCUUAAAAUUAAUUGGUAAAAAUAAUUGAAUAUCCUUAAAAAAUUAAUUGAAUUCGCAACUGAAUUGAUUUUUAUAAUUUUUUAAUAUUUUAAUUUCUAGUUUUUAAUUUUUUUAAAUCAGUCGGACCAAUUAUUCUGGGAACCAACUAGUGAAACUAGUUGGAAAUAAGUUGCAACCGAUUUUUUACCUCUCAUCGAUCGAUACUUCAAUCGGUUCUCGAUCCAGCUAACCAGUCUGAUUUGGUUUAGAUAACAUUGAAUUUUGAUUUUUUUUAUAUUUUUGAAAUCAAUUUUUAAAGAGUUUUAUUUUUUCCGUAUAUUUUAAAUUUUUUAUGUUUGUAUUUAAAAUAAGAAUAGAAUUCAAUUUAAAAAAAUUUAUGUAGACCAAAUUGAUAAUAAAUUAUAAAUGUUGAGGGUUAAAAAAAUUAUUUUAUAUUUGACAUCAUUAACUUUAACAACAAUAGUAGACGAGGGAGAAAGAUUUUUAAAUUAAAAAAUACAAAGAUUUAAUAUCUCAAAAUUAAAAUAUAAAAACUAAAUUUUAAAUUCGAGAAGAGAUAAAAAGAUUGAAACUCAUUUAAAAUUUGGACUUUAGUUUUUGGUUGCUAUUAGUCCGUGUACUUUACAAAAAGUUAUGAUUGCUAUUAGUCUCUAUAUUAUAGGGGUUGGAUCAAAUUUAUCCCCCUAUUAUUAGAUCGAUCAAUUUAGUCUCUAUACUAUUAAAAAAAAUCAAAUUAAUCUAAGUUGUAAUAGAAUUAACAUUUACCAUAUUAAAAAUAUCUUGAUAAUUAAUUGUUUUCAAUUACAGUUUAAUUCCAAAUAAAAAAUUUCAUUUAUUGAACUAUAAAAACUUUAAAAAUAUUAACUCUUUUAUAUCGUAAAUGAUAUUUUUCUAAAAGAGUAAAUGUUAACUCUGAUCUUAUUUAAUAUUUAUUAAUACAUAAAUUAAAUUGAUCUAUUUAAUAAUAACGGGAUUAAUUUUACGAAGUGGAUAUAAAAAAAACAACCUCCUAAGUAAUCUAAUAUAAUAUGACAUUGGAAAGCUUAAAAAAAAGAAAAAGAAAGGCAGCGAUGCUGGUCGAUUGUCAUUCGAUGCGCGCGUUCAUGUUUUUAUAUUCUGCAGAGUCAAAAAAGAAACAUGGACUUGGUUUCUAUUGUUAACUCAGUUGAUAUAAUUUUAUUUAUUCUUAAAGAUUAAGAUCUUUCACUAAUUUAUGGAAAGGAUUAAAUUAUUUAAUGUACUGAAAAACUAUAAUUAAUAAUUAAUCUACGAUGAAAUUAAUCAUAUCAUUGAUUUUCGAUUUCAUCAGUUGAAUCAAUUUUAUUGAAUUAAAAAUUAAAAAAAUUCUAAAAAGUAAAUAAAAUAGAACAUAAAAAAUGUAAAAAUAAUAACAAUAAUGGCUAAACAUUAAUUGGGAAAAUAUUUGAUACAUUACGAGUGAAAUUAAGUUUAUGAUAUGCGAAAAAUUUAUAAUUCUGCUUGUGAUCAUGUUUAAAAAGUACAGUAUCAAUAUACCAAAUAUUCGCCCAACAUCAAUUAUACUCUUCAUUUAGAUUAAUUUUUUUUUUCGAUUUUUGAUUUUUUAAAUAUUUGGAUAAAUUAGAUUAACUGAUUUAAGUAUUCAUUUGAAUUGAAUGAUUUUUUUUACUCAGAUUAUUAAUUCGGAAAGUUCGAGAUUAUUUGAAAAAUGACUUGUUUAUAGGGGGCAAUAAACUUGCCGAUGGCCUAGCAUCGAUAGCUUGGGGGUAAACAUUACAAAGUGUUUUUUAUUAUUUUCCUCCAAUAGUACUUCUUGAUCAACUUGGUACUGAUGUUAUUGAUGUUAUGUCACCAAAAAUGGCGAUUAUAUAAUUUGUGUAUUUCCCCUUCAAUUAUAAAAAAAAAAUCGAUUUAACCCUUUUAUUUUUCCCAAACUGAGCCACUGAUAUAGACAAAAUUGGGUGCAAGAGAUAUUAAAGGAAGAUUGGGAUUUGGGGAAAGACUAAAUCAGAAAAUCAUGUUGAUGUGUUGUUAUACAGUAGCGCGCUUUUGCUCGAGUUUCGGAUUAUGACUCGCGUUACUCUCUCACUAACUCGCCCUAUUUUCUUUGUUCUAUGAAAAACCUACUUUUAUAUUUCAUGAAGUGGACACCCAUAAAUGUAUUGACCUAAUCCAACAUCUUGGACCAUCACUUAGAAAUAGCUAAUUACAUAUUUAACAUCAAUAAUCUAAGUUUUAUCUAAUAAUUAAUAUCUAGAUAUAUCUAUUCAAGAAACUUUGGACGGACGGACGAAGGAUAUUAGCAUUAUCAAGUCCAAACAGGAUUAGAUUUAUUAUCACAAGCCUAUUUUCUUCUCCAUGAUAAUGUCUAUAAACUUUGGACGGACGGACGAAGGAUAUUAGCAUUUCCUAAUGGAAACAAUGGUUUUACUACCAUCUAUUCCUAUUAUUUUUAUAGGUUUUUUUAACUAAUUCCCAUUUUUCUACAGGAAUCGCGUUCUUUCUGCAACUACAGAUUGUAGCUCCAGUAUCUAUUAGGGCAUUUAGAAUUUUCCUAUGUAUGAUUUUUUGCCCUCAUCUGGAUGUCUUCAUCAAUCAUUAAUGGUUGCUCCUAAUAUGCAAGGAUGAAGUGGUUUCUUCAUCGGAAUUAUAAGUUGAAGCUUUUAUAUCUUCGUCCUGAUCUGUUGAAGUUUGUUCUUUAUCAGAUUGUUUUUUAAAUAAUUCUGGUUUUUCAGAAUUACUUGAAUUGUUGCUAUCAUCAUAUUUUAACAAUUAUAUUUUGAAUCCCGAACAGUGUUUCUGAUAAGGAUUCGGCUUCUUUGUGGAUGUGGUUGUUUCCACGUCUUCAUCUUUUUGCAUGGCUAUGGUUGAUUCCACUUAGCAUGCUUGCAUUUAAUUUUAUCACUAAUUUCAACAUCUUUAUUUAAAUGUCUAAGAUAAUCAUCUGUUUGACUAUCUGACUCUAAUUUCCUUUUUCUAUAUGGAUCUGUUGGAUCAGUAUCCAUGGGUUUUUCAGAAUUACUUGAACUGCUACUAUCAUCAUAUUUUAACAUAUAAUGAUAAUUAAACAUAUUAAAUAAAUCUUUAUGUUUUUCAUAAAGUUAUUCUAUGAGUUACAGUUUAAUUUUAGAAAAUAUUCUUAAAAAAUGUAAACAAUUAAAAAAUAUAUAUAAAUAGAUUUUAAAAAUAAAAUUAUAAAAUGAGUCAUUAUUACUUGCUAGUAUAAAGUUUCAAAGUUCAUCUAUAUUAGAGAAUAGAAGUAGUUAGUCAGUUAGUGAGGUUGUUACUCAAUUCAGAAAGUCUAUAUAUACUGUACAUUAAGAACUACGAAGUAAAGCAAAUUUGAAUAAACAAACAAGAAGUUUAUUCUAUUAUUUUCUACAUUUCACUCUCUGUUUGGAUAGAUAUUUCCUUCUUUUAUCUAGUUCUUUCAUGGUAUCAUUCGCCAAUUGAUUCUGGUUGUUGCUUCUCAUGGCUUCCGUUGAUUCCGUGUCCGGUGAACCUAACUCUGGUGUGUUUGCUGCCGAUCGAGUCACAACCGUUCUUCCUCGACAUGAAGUGGUCAAACUCGAUGAAGGUACUUACCUUCAAUGGCGUAAGCAGGUAAAACUGAUUGUUAAUGGCUAUGGACUCACAGGUUUCUUAGAUGGCAUUGUUGCUCCGCCAUCUCGAUUUAUUAUUCUACCUGAUGGCUCUCGGGCUCCAAAUCCGGCGGCUCAGGUGUUUACGCAGCAAGAUCAACUAUUGAUGUCCUGGCUGUUGUCUACUAUAACUUCCUCUCAUCUAACCUCUUUUGAUGAAGCUUGCACGGCGUGCGACAUUUGGAGUAUGUCCGGUAAUUUCUUUGCAGCAGAUACGGGUGCCAAACAGUCGAGGAUUCGGCAUGAGCUUCACUCGUUGAAGAAAGGUAAUCUUUCUAUUAAGGCGUAUGUUGCUCGGAUUAAAGAUUUGUGUGCUAUGUUAGAUGCUUCUGGAUCUCGUAUCUCUGAUGAAAAGAAGAUUGAAGUGGUGCUGGCGGGGUUGCCGUCGGACUUUGAGGCGGUUAUAUCCUCUGCUCGAUUGUCGUCUACAGUUUUGCCGUUACAACGCUUGGUGGAUGCAUUGGUCGAUUGUGAGAGUCAUCACGAACAGGUGUUCCAGGAUGUUAGUUUGAACGCGAAUCUUGUUGAGGAUGCACCGUCAGUUAAAGGAGUUGGUCGUGGAGGCCGUGUGUCUGUUCGUGGCCGUGGUAGAACGUUCAGAUCUCGCAUCCAGUGCCAGAUCUGUAGUCGAUUUGGUCACGUGGCUCAGAAGUGUUACUAUCGUUACCAUAGAGACUCAAGUGACUCAUCCGUGGUGCCGUCGGCCUCUCAUCAAAAGACUCAGUCGGGUGUUGAGAGAGCUAAUUUUGGACUGUGUGCGCAAGAAGAAGACGAACAGUGUGUGGCUCCUUAUCACAAAAGUCAGAGAACUAUUUAUGGUCAAAAUAGAAAUGAUGGUCAAAAUAGAAAUGAUGGUCAAAAUUGGAAUAAUGGCAUGCAAAGUCAAAAUAGAAAUGGUAGUCAAAAUUGGGGUGCUGGCAUACAAAGUGAGAAAUUGGCACGUGGGCCCCAGGUGUCUUUUGCAAAUGAAUAUGGCAGGCCAUUUGCAAACAAUUUUCAAUCCACUUUGCAUCAGUAUGGUAAUGACGAUGGGCCUAUUUUUAAUCAAAAUGGGUUUAGUAAUGCGCCACUAGACCUUGAUAAUGGGAAUGGCAAACGUGUGUUGCAAGGGCCGAAUCUGGUAAAUUCUUCACAUGGGCCAACUAUUGGCCAAAAUGCAAAUGGGGUUCCGUCUUCUAAUUUUGUUCAAGUUGAUCAGAGUGAUCCUGGUUCGCCUGAACCGAUUGGAGUUGAUCGGGUUAUGCGAGUUACCAAACCGCGUGCUCGGGUUUAUACUAGGUUCGAACCCUGUAUUGGACUUCCCCGGCUAGGGGACUUACAUGCAUCUGAUUAUUCUGAUUCUUUGGUGUCCGGCUCUCAUGUCAACACUGCUCAACUUGGGUCCGGUACUGGUCAUGAUGAUCCGUACGUUCCAAUGCAUGGUGGCACCACAUCUUGGUAUCCUGACUCGGGGGCGAGUCAUCAUGUCUGUCGUGAUGUGUCUGCUUUACGUGAUGUCUCACCAUAUUCAGGUAUGUCAUCUCUUUUAAUGGGCGAUGGUACUCCUGUGGUAAUUUCGUCAAUUGGUACUACUAUUUUUCUACCCAGUAUAAAUUGUUACGACUAUCAAAUGUCUUAUAUGUGCCGAGUAUACGCAAAAAUCUCUUGUCUGUCUCACAGUUUUCUCGUGAUAAUGGUAUGUUUUUUGAGUUUCACCCUACCUACUGUUGACGGGAGAUAAUGGUGACACGGGAGAUAUUGCUGACGGGCCGUAUUCGUGAAGGUUUAUAUCAGUUUUCUAUACCAGUGGUUUCUACUUCACCUCCGACUGCUCCAUUUGUUGCUCAUUCGCAAGUUUCACAUAUUGUUUCGCCUACUUCUGUGUUUGCUUUAUGGCAUAAUCGUUUAGGCCACCCAUCAACUUCUGUGGUUAAAAAUAUUCUAAAUAAAUGUAAUGUUGUUUCAAAUAAAACUAGUCUGGAUGGUAUAUGUACUGCAGGUCACAUAAGUUGCCUUUCUCCCCUUCGACUACUAGCUAUCGUCCUUUUGAGUUGGUUGUGUCUGAUCUUUUGGGUCUUGCACCCGUUGCAUAUGGUGAUAAGAGAUAUUAUGUUUCGUUUAUUGAUAUGUGUACCAGAUUUACUUGGGUUUAUCUUUUACGUCAAAAAGCUCAAGCACUAGAAUGUUUUACUCAGUUUCAACAGUUGAUUAAGACACAGUUUGGCAAGUCUAUUAUGCAGUUUCAGAGCGAUUGGGAAGGUGAAUAUCGUGGUUUUACGUCUGUCUUAGAAUCUCAGGGGAUCAUUCAUCGACUGACCUAUCCGUAUACUUCCGAACAAAAUGGAGUAGCUGAGCGAAAACAUCGUCACAUUGUUGAAAUGGGGAUUACGUUGUUGGCUCAUGCAAAUUUGCCUAUGGAAUACUGGGGGUAUGCGUUUUGUUGUGCUGUUCAUCUUAUAAAUCGACUUCCCACGGUUGUACUUCAGGAUAGUUCUCCGUUUAAGGAACUGUAUGGAAGCGAUCCGACCUAUGAUCAUCUUCGAGUGUUUGGUUGCUGUUGUUAUCCUUACUUACGUCCGUUUGUGGGUCGUAAGUUGGAAUUUUGGUCUCAGCCGUCUACUUUUUUGGGCUACAGUCCUCGUCACAAGGGGUAUCAAUGUCUUUUACCAGAUGGUAAGGUUAUAAUUUCAAGGCAUGUGGUCUUUGAUGAACAGAGGUUUUUGUUUAUUGAGACUAGUUCAAACAAGUUUGUAUCAACGACCGGUCAGACUAGUUCGACAGUUGUUCCUCUUAUGUGGCCAUCUUCAUCCUCGACUCUUGAGCCAUACAUGAUGACACCGUCGAUACAAGGGGUGCCGUCUCAGUCUACUGAUCCUGUAUUAGAUGUUAGUGUGGAGCAGCCUCAGUCUCAUGAUCCUUCAACUGAUGUUAGGACUGGGUCGGGUAGUUUUCUAGCUCAUGAUUAUUCAGCUAAUGAUGGAACUGAGUUGAGUGAUCUUCCAGCAGAGCAUGGCUCGGGAUCCUCAGGUAAUACCAAUGCUCCCUCUUCGUCUAAUAUGGGACUGUCUGCAGGCGUUUCAUCGGCAUCUGAUAGUCAGAUUAAUAGGACACCUGUGGGCAAUACUCACCCAAUGGUCACUCGCGCUAAAGCAGGGGUUUACAAGCCUAAGGUUUUAAGUGUUGAAGCUGUUGAACCGACUACAAUU
rnacentral:lncRNA from 1 species